rnacentral:lncRNA from 1 species
GUAGGGGAGGUCGUUUGUGAGAACCCGUAUUUUGCAUUUUCUAGGUUUUAUUAUUUUUCAUAACUUGUUUUCUGCAUUUUCGUGCUUAGGAAAAAUUUCUAGAUAAUUUUAAGGAGCAGAUAUAAUUUUUAGAUGAUUUUUCUAGUAUCGAAUAGGUUUUGAGAAAUUAAGAGCGUAUACCGGACGUGGGACCCACUAGUGCGAAAAGUUCGGAAAAAUUCGGCCAACUAGGUUAAGUUUUGGAUACUGAAAGUAAUUUACCGGGUGUGAAGAGAUAAUUAGAGGAUGCUAAGUGGAUUGGUAUAAGAGAGACAAGUUAGGUAAGCAUUUAAUAAAAGGUGACAAGUGUCACCAUUUGAGUGGGUUUACCUUAAGACCACUAUUCAUGGUCUUACCAAUUGACUAAAUAAAAAAAAAACAACCAAAAUUUCUCCAUUUUCUCUUCUCUUGUGGCCGGCUUUCUCUCUCAAAAAGAAAGAAAGAAACUCUUCAAGUUUUGCUUCCAUUUAGCUCAAAUCCAUCCAACCAACCAUUGAAACUUGAAAUUUCUCCAUAAAACCUCUUCAAUUAGUGUUAAUGAGUUGAUUUGUGGGGUUAUUUGGAAAGUUAAGAGGACCUAUUGCUCCCUCUCUCUUGUUUCUAAGGUGAGUUAUGAAGAACCACUUUCCUUCCUCUAAUGAUGCUUAAUUUGUGAUUAGUGGUAGCAUAAGGUGCAAUAUUAUGGAUUACAUCUUGAUUUGUGGUUGAAUUAGUGAAGUUUUCUAUUUAUUGGUGAUUUUUCUGUUUUAAUAUGAACAUGAUUGUGUGGCUAUCUAUGAUGAUUGAAAAUGGUAUGUAAUGACUCUAGGAGGUGGAAAAGUGAUUACUUGCAACCAAUUUCUGUUUGGAAGAAAAGUUGACAAGUUACGGUUUUUGUGAAGAACAUUCUACCCGGUUUUGUAGCUCCUAGUUAGAGGUCGAAUUGGCCUUAGCUUAAAACAUGAAAGUUGUAGGUAAUGAUAUUUUAGAGGUGCCUGCAAAAUUUCAGGUCAAUCGGAGUAGUGUAAAAUGAAAAAAGUCGAAAUUACCCUUGCUGUCCUGGUUUUAUCCGAAUGUAAGAAUUGCGCCUGUAAUUGGUUGUUUUGGAUCGAAUUGCUUUGGAAUUGGUUGUUGAGGUCUUCUGAUGAAAUGUAUCCCUAUUUCUAAGCUUUCGAGUGGCUUUGGAAUUUUUGGAUUUGGACUUGUGUAGGCUGAGUUAUGAUGUUUACACCAGAAUGCGUUUUGUGAAUCUGUUUUUACGGUUUUGAUGUAGUAUCUUGCAUUUUUGACCUGGUUGCACUCAAAACAGGGUUGAGUGACCUUCUGUAAUGUUGUAACCCUGUAUUUUAGCUUUGAAACGGUGUAUCGUACACCUUCAUCCGGUAAUCGUGGUGCCUUUGGUGCCAUUACCACAAAAAGAUGUCAAAAACUAUUUUUUUUCAGGGUCAAAGCUAAUUGCAUUUUCGAAUUUUCUGGUUUCCUCUAAUGUGUGUGUAUGCUUAUGGAACCCUAUUGGGGUCAUAUUUGGCAUUGGAUUAUGACUCGUUAUCGAGUCUCAUUGUACUUGUUUGCAUGUUUUAGGACGUGACGGUGGUUCACGACAUUCUUGUGACGGAAGUGCAUGAAACCGCAUUUGCAAGUUUGGUGAGUGUACUACUCACUUGUGUGUUAAUACAUAGUUUUGAUACUUGAACUUGGUGCUUUGAAUGUUAAUUGCUUGAAGUGAAAGUGUACUUUAUCACUCUCACUUAUUGUUUAUCAUGUUAUUGGAAUGUUAUAUGAAAUGCUACAUGAAAUGAAAGUACAUGGCCUGGUGUCGUUUGGACGAGCAUCCAACGACUACAAUUGUUAUCCUUGAGCUCAACCCCAUGGGUCCUUGAUUGAAUCGAGCCGGCGAGCGCUUGGUCGUGUCAAUUAAUGUGCCUUGGGGAAAUGUUAUAUGGAAUCUUGUAGUAUGAGAGACUCUCGAUUCCGGUUUACUCGAGUAAUACCACAAUGCAAGUGUUUGGAUUUCGGGCCCGGUAGGGGAAUGGUAGGUGGAAGGAAUGGAAGUAAAGUGGAAUCUACGGUUGGUUAUUUUUGAACAUUGACGGAGAGUCAAUGACGUCCGAUCAAGAAAUGCAAACGAGGGAAAAGGGCUCUUGAGAGCCAUCCGUAUCCUUUUAUCACCACCAUUAAUGUGUGCCUUUGUUUACUUUUGGUGAAUUGAAAUGAAAAGCUUUAUGUUUACAUGAACUUGGUUGCUUAAGUGAUAGUAUCUCACUGGGCAAUUAGCUCACACCAUUCCUUUUGUUUUCCUUACAGGAAUAUGACUCUUUUUGGAAUGAAUCUUGAUAGAUGGUUGCUGAAUGAACUAGAUGAAUAUCUCUUUUGUAUUGUAUAUGAAGUGGGACCCUAAAUGUGUCUUUAGGGCCGUUUUCACUUUAAUUUGGCAAACCAAACAUGUAGUAACUUUUGGAUUACUUUUGUAUGCCAUUGUGGCUUGUAAUUGCAAAAUGUCAAGUGUAUAUGUGUUUUUAAUGUUUGGUUGGAUUCUGACGGGUCGGUUACUAUUCAUGGCCGACUUCGAAUUUCAUUUUUUUAUUCUGGGUUAUUUUGCCAUUUUGACUUGGUUACGUGCGUUUGUAAGUUCCGGAACGCAAUAGAUCGCUCGAAACUGCACCAUUAGUCCUGGCGAGAGUUGGGUAGGCAGUUCGCUAACCCCUUUGGUUCGCCUUUGGGGAAGGUGGGGCUGUCACAUCGUUGGGGUCGUGGAGGUCGAGGCACCCGUGAGUGCACUUAUUGUGAUUUGAAAAAUCACACUCGUGAUACCUGUUGGGAUUUAGUUGGAAAACCUCCUCAAUUUGCUAAUGUGGUUAUCAAAGACCAAACUGAAUCAGGUUCUUCAGCGCAAGGGUCCCAGAAGACUUUUACCAUAUCCCAGGAAGAUUAUGUUAAAUUCCUUCAGUACCAAACUGCAAAUCACGCAUCUCUUCCCUCUGUCUCUUUAGCACAAAAAGGUAAUAUUAUGUCUUGUCUCUCCACAUCCUUUAAUUUUGAUGCAUAGGUUAUUGACUCCGAGACUACUGAUCAUAUGUCAAGUACCUCUAGAAAUUUUUCUAAUAUUCAAGAAUCUACUUCCUUUCCUCAUGUUACUUUAGUUGAUAGAUCUACAACUAAAGUUAAAGGAUUAGGCACUGUAGAAAUUAAUCCAUCUCUUCUACUGUAUUUUAUUCUUUACGUAUCCAAUUUGCCUUUUAAUCUAAUAUCUGUUAGUAAACUUACUAAAUUUCUACAAUGUUCAAUUACUUUUUCUCCUGAUUUUGUUGUUGUUUAGGAUUUGAAGACAAAAUGGAUGAUUAGUGGAGGGCAUGAGCAUUAUGGUUUUUAUUUUCUUAAUUCCAAUGGUCCGAUUGCAUGUCCUACUAUUGUUUCUCCUUUUGAAAUUCACUAUCAUUUGGGUCAUCCGUUUCUACAAAAUUUGAAGAAAUUAGUUCCUACUUUGAAUCAGUUGUCUUCAUUAGAAUAUGAGUCUUGUCAGUUAGAAAAGUAUCAUCAUGUUUCUUUUGCCCCUAGAGUCAAUAAAUGGGUUUCUAAACCCUUUUGUUAGUUCAUUCUAAUGUUUGGAGUCCUAGUCGCGUCACUUCAAAGUUAGAUUUUAAAUGUUUUGUAAUUUUUAUUGAUAACUUUUCCAGAGUUACAUGGAUUUAUUUAAUGAAAGAUCGUUCAGAGUUAUAUUCCAUUUUUUGUUCAUUUGUUACAGAAAUAAAGAAUCAAUUUUGUGUACCUAUACGUAUACUUCGCAGUGAUAAUGCGAAAGAAUGUUUUUCCACUCCUUUUGAUACUUUUAUGACUAAGUCUAGUAUUAUUCAUUAUUUUUCUUGUCCCCACACUCCACAACAGAAUGGAGUUGCUAAAAGAAAAAUUGGACAUUUAGUCGAAGUUGUUAGAACACUUUUGUUGCACAUGAAUGUGCCUAAACACUUUUGGAGUGAUGCAGUUUUAACUGCAUGUUAUUUAAUUAAUCGCAUGCCAUCUAAUAUUCUUGGACACCAAUUACCUCACUCCAUUCUUUUUUCUCGUGAAUCUGUGUUUAAAUUACCUCCUUAUAUUUUUGGAUGCGUGUGUUUUGUUCAUCAACUUGCCCCCAGGGUGGAUAAAGUUCUCAUGCUAUUAAGUGUAUUUUCUUAAGAUACGCACAAGUGCAAAAAGGAUAUAGAUGUUACAGUUAAGUUUUAAAUCGAUUUUUUACUUAUAUUGAUGUUAUUUUCUUUGAGUCCACUCCUUAUUUUAUGAAACAAGGUAUGCCUAGUGAAUUAGAACGGUGUUCCUCUUUAUCUUAUCCUGUUUUACCAGUCCCUUCAUCUUUAUUAUCUAAGUUAUAUAGUUGACCAGAUUCCAUAACUAAGUUAUCUCGUCCUAAUUUUCAAGUUUAUUCUCACCAUUUCGUAGUUGAGAAAGCUCCUGAUACGUCACGCACUUCACCAAUUAACUCUUAAUCUUCAAAUCCAAGUAUGACGCCCUUCUGUGAGUUAGAUCUUCCUAUUGCUUUACGCAAAGGUAAGAGACACUGUACUUCUCAUCCUAUUUCUAAUUUUGUUUCUUAUUCUCGUAUCUCUCCAUCAUAUUCUUCUUUUAUUGCUUCACUUGAUUUUGUAUUCAUUCCUAAAUCUAUUACCUAUGCUCUCAAUCAUCCUGGUUGGAGAUUAGCUAUGCAAGAAGAGAUGUUUGCUUUGGAACAAAAUGGUACUUGGGAUCUUGUUUCUCUUCCUUCCGGUAAGCCUGUUGUUGGUUAUAAAUGGGUGUACACUAUAAAAGUGCAGCCUAAUAGUUCUAUUGAUAGAUUGAAAACUCGUUUGGUAGUUAAAAGAUUUACUCAGAUGUAUGUAAUAGACUACUUAGAGACAUUUUCUCUUGUUGCAAAGAUUACCUCUGUUCGUCUUCUUAUAUCUUUGGCAGCAACUUAUAAUUGGUCAUUGUAUUAGUUAGAUGUGAAAAAUGAGUUUCUACAUGGAGAUUUGGAAGAAGAGGUAUAUAUGGAACAAUCUCCUGGAUUUGUUGUUCAGGGGGAGAAUUCGCGGUUGAUUUGUCAUCUGAAAAAUCCUUAUAUGGAUUGAAACUGUCUCUUAGGGUUUGGUUUGGCCGAUUUAGUAGUGUUGUCAUGAAAUUCGGUCUAACAAGAUGUGAAAUAGAUCACUAUGUGUUUUAUUGACAUUCCAACGAUGGUAAAAUUUUAUUAGUUGUUUAUGUGAAUGAUAUUGUGAUUACAGGUGAUGAUAUUGUGAAGAUCCAGAAGGUUAAGUCCAAUCUGCAGGCAAACUUUCAGAUAAAGGAUUUAGAUCAUUUGCAAUAUUUUCUGGGUAUUGAGGUAGCUUGAUCUAAAUAUGGGAUUUAUUUAUGUCAAAGAAAAUAUGUACUUGAUAUGCUGAGUAAAGUUGGAAUGUUAGGUUGCUGGCCUGUGGAUGCUCUUGUGGAUCCUAAUGUGAAAUUAGUAGGAGAUCAAGACGUAUUCCUAGAUGAUCUUGGGCAAAAUCGAAGACUUUAGGGUAAAUUAAAUUAUCUCACUAUAACAAGGUUUGACAUUUCGUUUGCAGUAAGUGUCGUGAGUCAAUUUCUUGAGACCCCUCGUACCAGUCAUUGGGAUGCUGUUAUACGAAUUUUCAAGUAUCUUAAGAGUGCUCCUGGAAAAGGGUUGCUAUAUCAAAAUCAUGGACAUACUGAUAUUGAAAGAUACAAUUAUGUAGAUUGGGAUGGUUUUGCCUCAGAUCGAAAAUCGACCACAAGAUAUUGUGUGUUUGUUGAUAAUAAUUUAGUGUCGUGAAAGAGUAAAAAGCAAACACUUGUCUCCAGAUCAAGUGCAGAAUCUGAACACUGCGCUAUAGCUCACACUGUGUGUGAGUUUAUUUGGUUGAAGAGCAUGUUACUUGAAAUUAGAUUUGAACAUAAACAGCCCAUGAAUUUAGUGUGUGAUAAUCAAGCGGCUGUUCAUAUUACUUCUAAUCCAGUGUUUCAUAAAACAUAUUGAAGUUGAUUGUCAUUUCAUUCGAGAGAAAUUGCUUGAUGGAGUUAUUAAGACAUCUCACAUACCGUCAGCAGAUCAAUUGGCUGAUUUGUUUACUAAGAGUUUAGAGGGCUCUAGGGUGAAAUACAUUUGUAACAAGUUGGACGCUUAUGAUAUAUAUGCUCUAACUUGAGGGGGAUUGUUAAGAAAAUAUAAGUACUCUUGUAGAUAAUAAAUUAGUAAGGUUAUUCUUGUAAAUAGUUUGUUAGGUUUGUAUUACUAUAAAUACUAGUUGGUCACUCAUAAUACGAUGGCUAGAUGUUUUUCUCCCAAAAUACAUGUUAUCACAUACCAUUGACUGCAUAUAUGCAAUAAAAUCUUUGUAAAUCAUUCACUCCAUAAGAAUGUUGUCGUGCAUUUCCUCAAGAAUUGGUAACAAGCAACAAUUAAGUUUGCAUGUACUGGUUGAAACCACUUAAAAUUUAAGGCACCCAUAUCUCCUAUAUUCCUCAUGACAAAUUCAAGAGAACGUGGAUAAUAACCCAUAGAUCUGAAAUUAAAAAAAAAACAUAGAUCCUUCAUGUAACUAUUAACAGUGACAUUUUCAGCUAAUUAUGUAUAUGCAGUUUGCAGUUGUCAGUUACUGUUCUCAAUUUUUCCCAACCAACAAUAGGUAAAAGUAUAGAUAGCUAUUUAACUCUGCACCAGGCAAGCACUCUGACUCCAUGACCAAUCAAAUUUCCUCCAUCUUCCUUAGGAAGCUCAUAUCAGCUCUUACCAAAUUUUAUUACCUUACUUGGGACAAUUUUCAUGUUAAUUAAAAGCCCCUAAACCAAUGACAACAUUUCCAAUCAGUAAAAAGAAACCAAAUGGUCCACACAAUAUCCAUUUAAUGCACUACCUAAGAAUAGGAUCAAACACAGCAAAGUGUAAUUAAUAAGAGGAAGACUAUGACAAAGAAUUAAAAGUAGAGUUAGUUUGACUUUAUGCCCCUAAACCUUUACCCUCCUGCAAAUUGUGCCAGAGUAUUCAACUGCAUUACUUAACUAACUUAACCCACUCAUCUAUCUUAAGUUAAUCAAAUCAUUGCACCAGCGCUUGAUUAAUAUCUAACUUUAACAGUAAUAUAACUGCUCUUAGAUUAACAUUCACCAAAGUUGGGAUGAUUUUCUUCUAAAGACUCUGUUGAUUGUACAAAGUAUGAAGUGCAACACCCAGCAACUUGAAAUUUCAAUGAAUUCCCUAAUUUAUUAUGUUCAGGUAUUCCGAAACUUAUUAGCUUCAAAAGUACUUGAAUAAUUUCCUACAAACUAGUACAAUAUACAAACUCAUACAGCAUAAUGUACAACUUUACCAACUGCUAAUCCCAAAAAAAUGCAUAAUAAUUUUCUAAACCAAAAGAAGACAUAAAUAAUCGUAUAAUUAACUCAAAAAAUCCUGCAGUGGACCGGUUUCAACCAAUCUCGAACAUUAGGCAAGGCGCGGCCGAGCAGCACAAACAUGGUAUAAGCCAUAUAAGCUUCAGUAGCUUCUUUAUGAAGCUCCAAAACUACAAUCCUCCCCUCGACUCCUCCUCUACUACUACCACCAAUUUUUUCCCUAGCAGCCAAAACAACACUUCCAUUAUCUCCUACUCAUCCAUCAUCCAAAGCUCCGUCCUCAGCUUCUCUCCACUUGGCUUUCACAAUCGGUAACUUCAAUCUAGGCGUCGAGGAGGACAAAAAUCGAAACUCCAAAACCCUAACUUUACGAAGCCCCAAGAACCAAGCCGAGACAGGCUGCAGGUGCUGAGAGUAGCAGCAGAGUAAGUGAAGUCCCAUCAUCAUGAUAUUGAGGGCCAUCGGUUGAUUAAAUAAAGGGCUUUUGGGUGGGGAAAUAUGUGACCCUAUAUUAUUUCUGUAAAACAAAAUAGUUUGAAAUGAACAACCAAAAAAAGUAAUUUAUUUAAGUCAACAUUUAAAGACAAUCCACCUCUUCAUUCAUCUUUAACAUUUAAGCAAUUCUUCAUGCAACCUCAAUUAAAGCUAUUUCUGCAAGAAAGACUUUUGACUGAUCUUUUGUUGAAAUAAUAUGAUUUUUCUCUCUAGCACUUUUGACUAAUAUUACUUGAAAUAGAGUGGUAGCCAUAUUGAUACAAUUUUUUAUAUACACUCUGAAGUAUCUUACUGCAUUAUUCGCCAGCUUGAAACCUGAAAAAAAAGAAUGCUCAGAAAAAUUAUUACAAACAAAAGAAAAAAUAUUUGAAAAAUUAAUUAUUUUCUCUCCAUAAAAUUUAAAAGUUAAGUAGUUUUAAGGAAAAUUGGAAACAAAAAAAUGAUAGAUAACUCAAGUGUUGAACUUAGUUUUACGAGUGGACCAAACAGAAAUCACAUUUUGUAUCAGCUAAACCAAUUAAAUUGUUCAAAACGAUAGCUAAAUGGAACAUGUAAGCUAUCAGAACCUAUUAAUUAGCUAUAACAAUAAAUGCAAAGCAAGAACUUUACAUUCAACCAGUUGGCUUAUACCAAAGUUCAAUUGAUGAAAAGUUAUAGCUCUUCCAUUUUUUCCCUUGGCAAGGGCAAGAGCAAGAAGAGAUGGUGCUAAUGGGACUACCACAGCUUGUACAAGCCUACUGUAUCUCAAAGAAAUUAAACAUCUUUCCUGGUUGUUUCUUCCUGAAGAUAGAUCUUCCCACUUCAAAUUAAAUGAACCUGUUCAUCAUUAUAAAAAGCUAUCAUAUAAUUGAUUAAAGGAGUGGAUGAAGCAUACCACACCUAAGAUAUCAUAAUUAUCAAUUGCCACUUACAGCAAAUAAAUGGAACUUUCAACUAUUACCCAGGGUCACGUAAUAGGAAAGUUGAACAACUUAUAAAAGUUUUGAUGGCUUGCAUGUACCCUUUAGCUAUCAUUUUCAUCAAUUGAAUUGGUUCGAUUCAUACAAGAUGUAACAUCUCUUUGGCCCACUUGUUAUUCCUAGCCUUAGUAAAAUUUUAUUGUUUGAGUACUAAACGAAUGGUGGUCUGACAAUAUUACAAAUACAAACAUUUAGCUCAAGAUUUUCCUUUGCCAUUUUUACAAAUAGGUUUUGGGCAUUAUGCAAAUAUGGAACUUAUUUCUUUCAAAUUUGUUUCUAUCCUACCCAAAUUGCCAACUAAUGUUUUCAUCAACGGAGAAAUUAAGGAGAAAGCAACAAAUAUUCUACCAUUAUUAACUUCAACUAAACUCACAAACAAGAAAAUUUCAAUUAAAUGAUGGUAAUUACCAAAAAGAAAAGUUAACAAGGAAACUUCACUGUGCUUUUCUGCUAAAGAAAUUCAGUAUGACAAUAGCGGUGGCCGUGGCGGACUCUGGUUGUAGAACAACUCCUCCUUCUUUGACUCCCUUUUUUUUUUUUGGCUUUGCUUUUACUUUUGUUUUCUUCUAUGUAUCUUUGUUGCUUAUAAUAGGACAGGGUUAGAGAAUUUUUUGAAAAAAAAAAAAAAAAUCAAUCGACAACGUGGCUGAUAAUUUAGGGAAUUCCUGUGCCCUCUAGUUUCCACAAGCUUACUGUGUCUGAAAGUUAAAAAGAGAUAACUGGUCACAAACUCCAUCCUACUAACAAACCAAAAGGCCCUCAGAGUUGCUCAAAAUUAUGCUGCAAACAAUCACAAAAUACUAUUCAUAAGGGAACUGGCACUUUUAUUUAUUAUAAGAUAAGAUUAAGUAGAAAAACCCUAGCUUUAAUUUCAAUUUAGACAGCAUUCUUGCGCGCCAAGUCUCUUCUGUUUUUCCAUGUUUUUUGGCUCCCUCUUUUCCCCAUUAUUCUUAGGGAUGGCAAUGGGGCGGAGGUCCCAUUGGCCAAUAUUCCCCUCGCCUCCCACCCCCACCCCACCUAGCCCCGCUUCCCGUGGGCAGCCGCAGGGCUAAUAAAUAAUGUCCUGCAUCUCCUUCAACAACAGUUCAAAACAAUCAUAAGCCAAAACAAUCAAACUAGAUAGGUUCAAGUCUGCUGUCACAAGCCAAAACAAUCAUAACCCGACACUAGUUCAAGUCUUCAAAUAUAGAUAAAAUGAAGAAAGCAACAAGCAAAAUUUUCGCAAUUUAGCGAUGAAACUCCAAGAAAUUGCUGCGGUUGUUGGCUGCGGUUGCUUGGGAAGAAAAAACUCCAAGAAAUUAAACGCUCUAGCGGUCUAAGUGAGAGAGACAGAGAGUUGUGUCGUGUGUCUGUAUGUGUGUGAGUGAGUGAGUGUUUGGGGGGUCGUCGACCAAUGGACAACGGGCAAUUAGGCUUAGAAUGUCUUAACGGCUAGUUUGGGAGUUUAGGUUAGAAAAGAAAAGAGGGGAAAUAUUUUAAGUUAUGAAAGAAGGCAAAUACUUAGAUGAACUUGGUCCAUGGCCCCAUCCAUGGACCGUGUGAUUCCUGAAAAGCCACAUCUUUUUUUAGUUUGUUAUGCACAUACGUGCUUGCUUCUAUUGUCAUUCUUUGAUUUUCUUGAAUAAUGCAAAGGAAUAUUGGAUUUAUCCUAGUGGUCUAAAUGAGUUUAAUGACACUAAACACCCUAAUAUUUAAAUUUAUUUUAUUAUUUUAACGAAUUUAAAUGUUUGUUCAAGAUUGAGUUGUUCUUUUGUCAAAUCGAAAUUGAACAAAUUUUUUAUCGAAUUUAAAUGUUAUCAAACAUAAAAUAAUAUUUAAUCUUAUUUUGAUUAGUUUGCGAAUCAAAUUCAAACAAACUUUUACUAAGUCAAAUUUGAUUUGAGUAUCAAGUAACGUGACUGUGACGGCCCCACCUCACCCUAAGGCGAACCAAAGGGUUUGGCGGACCGCCUGCCCAACUCUCGCCGGGACUACAGAUCCGGAACAAACGUAAACCCUACCAAAUGCUCAAAAGAACGUCGAGAAGAAAGCAUUCACCGUCCGAAAAUCCAAACAAGCAUAACAACUUUCUACAAUCCUAGAACAGAACAUUUCCAAACCAAAAUAACUCAUGAACAUGGUUAAACACUUUUGUAUACACAUGUUUGCAAAUUUACAAUUCGAAAGGAAAACGUUGGACCAAGAUACAUUUAAGGUUUUCCAUACAUCGAGGAGCUACACAAAAGAAGAUUAAAACUAGUUCAACUCAUGCUUCAAAAUAUCAGAGUCUCCAAAAGGUGGUUUCCUGUAAGGAAAACAAGGAUAACGGAACGGGGUGAGCUAAAAGCUCAAUGAGGUACCAACAGUAUAAACAGUAGAAUUAGUAGAAUUCAUGUAAAAGUACUUUGGAGGCACAUAUUCACAUCAAAUAUGAAAAAUGAAUGAAUGUCACAAUGUAAAGGAUACAGGUGGCUCUCAGGAGCCAAAUCCCCGUUGCUAUACUUGAUCCAGCCUCGUUGACCCUCCGUCAACGUUCAAUAAAGAAACCAGUCCAGUAAAACACCACUUUAACGCCAAAAUUCCGUUUACCAAACAUACCCCUUACCGGGCCGGAACGCCAAAUAGGAAUAGGAAUGGUAAUACUCGAGUAUACCGGAAUCAAGAGUCUCAAUACCCAAAGAUUCCCCAGGAACAGGUACCCAUGGAUUGUCAAUUAUCUCAACCAAGCCCUUACUGGCUUGAUUUAAUUAACUCCCCAUGAGGUUGAGCUCAAGUUUAACAGGACGAUCAAGUUUAACAGGACGAUCGUUGGACACACUUCCAAACGAUCUCAUAAAAAGCUCAAGUACAUAACAAGUACAAGUAAUAGAUUCCAGUUCGUUCAGUACAGGCAAGAGAACGAGUGUGAUAAAGUACACCCUCGUCUCAUACAAGAUAAACAGUCAGGAAAGAUAUUCAAAUAGCAAGUUGCAAGUACAGAAACCAGUUUAGCAAUAACUCGGGGGAGGGGUGCACUCACCAGUUCAAAUAAGGAUAACUUCAAAAGUUUCCUUCCCAAGUGUGGCUUUAAUCGUCGGCACCUCCUAGAACAAUCAAGGCAAACACUUAAGACUCGACUCCAAGACCUAGUAUGGAAUUCGCAAGUGAGACUCGGUUACGAGCCAUAUGCCUAUUCAAAAGAACCAUUAAUGCAAAGCAAAGAGGUGACCUCGAAGUGAAAAGGUAACAAUUAGUCUUAAAGGCAUGAACAACCUCAAAGCCCUACCUACAAUGACUAACCAAAUCCAAAUUUGAAGUAGAGAAUGAAAGCAAGAUCAAUACUAGAAAAAUAGGAUUUUUCAGUUUUGCACAACCCUAUAAGAAAAAUCAUAUCUCAAGUUUUGUAAGUCCAAAAUUAGUAAAAGUUAUACCGUUGGAAAAUACAUUCAAAGGGCUAUAACUUUCCAUAAAACACCCUCAUAAGAUUCAGAAUACAAGUCAGUCAAAUUCAAGCCUCAAAUUGCUGCUUUAUCCAGUGAAAGAUAGAACAGGUACAAUAUUUCAGUCAAAUUUUAAAAACCACCAUAAAUGGUACAGACAUAAACAGGGUCUAAAAUUUACAUGGUUUAUAGCCCUAUGAAUUUAGUUUAAAACGCAACAAACAGAACUCAAUUCCGACAUUUCUACAUCAAGAUAUAACAAAUUUCCCGAGACUGUGCAGAAGCUCCGCGAAAAUUUUGAUAGCAUAUCCCUUGUCUUUCUUUACUUUCCAAACAAACCUCAACACCCAAAAUCACAAGCUAUCAAACACCUUUAAUUAGCGCCACAAUAAGGCUCGAAUACAAGUCAUAAACCAAAUCCACGUAUCACUAGAGUAAAAUCAUAUGGAACGUAUAAGUGCAAAAUCAAACUAGGACAUAUGCGGAAACGAAGUUUGGGUUGGGAAACAAAAGGCAGAUUUGCUGUUGCUUAGCGGAAUUAACACAACUAAAGCUAUCCUAGUCGGAUUGAGGUGUAAUUUACACCGUUUCGAAGGUAAGAGAAAGGGCUACAAUGUUGAAGAAGGUCACUCAGUCCAGUUUGUAGUGCAACUAGGUCAAAAUGUCAAUGUACCAAACCAGAACCGCAUUAACAGGUUAACAAACCGCAUUCUAGUUAAAUAACCAUAAUUCAGGCUACCUAAGUCCAAUUCAAGUGAUUCUAAAGCCAUCCGAAAGCUAAGAUACCAGGCUAUAUUUCUUAAGAAGACAUUAACAACCAAAUCAAUCGUAUUCCCAAUCAAACUAACCAAUUACCAAAGCUGAUUACCAAGUUCGGACAGAAACAGGGCAGCAGGGGUAUUUCAAUCUUUUCAUAGGUUACGUUGCUCCGAUUGGCCUGAAAUUUUGCAGGCAACUAUAAAAUAUCAUUCCCUACAACUUUCAUGUUUUAACCCAGGACUAAUUCGGCCUCUAACUAUGAGGAACAGUACCGGGCAGAAUGGUUGAAUUGAAACCCUAAAUCCGAAUUUUUCCGUUCAAUGCGGAAAUUUUCCGCAAACAACCACAAGUUACGCAUUCUAGCUUCAUUCAAGACCAUUUCCAACCAUCAUACAUGGCCACAUCAUAGUAAUCAUAUUAAAACAGAAAAAUCAUGAAUAAAUAGAAAAAUGUCAUCAAUCUCACUAAAAUCAUGAAAUAACACCUAAUAUCAUCACUUCAACUCACAUAGGUCACUAAUUAAGCAUUAUUGGAAAGAAAAGAGAAGUCCCUUAGCUACUCACCUUGUAAAGCAAGAAAGGAAGCAACUAACCACCUUAGCCUUCCAAACAACUUCACCAAUCACCUCACAAUCACUAAGUGGAGGGGUUUUAUGGAACAAAUAUAAGAUUAAACGGUUGGAAUUGAAGAUUGAGCAAGCUUGGAGCCAAGAAAUUGGAGAGCUUUUCUUUUCUUUUUGCUUAGAGAGAGCCGGCCAUGAGCUUGGAAUUUUGAGUGAUUUUUGGGUCAAUUUUUUGAUUUAUUUGGUAAAGUCAUGAAUAGUGGUCAAAAGGUCAAAAGGUAAGAUUAGUUCUCUAAGUGACACUUGUUACUAUAAUUAAUACAUGGUUAUCCUUUUGUCUCUCCACUCUCAUCCAUAUAACAACCUCUAAUUAUCUCUUAGCACCUAGUAAAUUAAUCCCAGUAUCCCAAACUUAACCUAAUUGGCUGAAUUUUACCAAACUUUUCGUGCUAGCGGGUCCCACGUCCGGUAUAUACUCUUAAUUUCUCAAAAAUUAACUAAUACUAGGAAAAUAAUUUUAGAACUAUAUUUACUCAUAAAAAUUAUCUAGAAAAUUUUUUUAAUAAAGAAAAUAUAAAAAAGGCAUGCAAUUAAAUAAAAUAAAGUCUAGAAAAUAAGAAAAUCCACGGGUUCUCACAGUGACUCAUUUUUCAAUCCUAUCUAUUUUUGACAAACUAUAUCAACAAUCCAAGCUUACAAAUAUCCAAAUUUUCAACUUCGAAACACAGAACACAAACUCAAUCCCUUGUACAAAAUUUUCAAGUUUUUCUAUCAUCAAUUCUUCACCAAAAUUUAAUCCAUGCACCUUCUAUCUUCGACAAAAGUUCUUCAUUUUACUAACAAUCGAACAUAAGCUGAUAAGAAAAACAGGAGCAUAACUAUAUUGUUUCAAUAGAGAUAAUAAAAAGUAAUUUCCCAGUUUUCAUAGCAAAAGGAAAACAGAAAAACUAGUAUAGUAGUUUUUUUUUUUUUUUUGAAGAUUAACUAGUAUAGUAGUUAACAACCCAUCAGGUAUUGAAAUGAUGUGGGUACUUAAAUACAACAAGUCCAUAGGUAGGUCCAUAAAUCGAGUUCCCCAAGUUUAAAGUUUUUGCCUAGCAGAUUGGGGAGCCAAUAUUAGAUGUUUGGAUUGUUUUUUUUAUAGUGCCUAGAGUUGAUAGGUGUAACAAGAGGGUGUUACUACAUAUGUUAUACUACUUAUUACUCCAUUCGUCCCAUUAAAAGUAUCAUAUUUUUCAUUUUGAAAUGUCCCAAAACAAUUGUCAUAUUGGAGAAGUCAAAGCACCUUUUAAUCUCUCUUUCCAAUAUAAUCAUUCUUUCUAAUCAUAUACAUGUUACUAUUUAAAUUUUAAUUUUGAAUUUGUGGGGAUAAAAUUGGAAAGAGAAAUACAAAUAUCACAAUCAAAUUACUAUUCUUAAAAGUUGGAUUCUCCAAACAUGAUUAAAUAAAUAGAAUGGAGGGAGUAAUUGAAGUCAAAGAGGGGUGACUCUUAUUAUCCAAAGUUUAGGGGGUGUUUUUGUAGUUUGGCCAGUCCACAAAGGAAGUAAAUGUAAUUAAUCUUUCUAAAUUUUUUUGAAAAAUUAAUUUAAUUUUCUAAUUAAUCUUUCUAAUAUAAUUGCAACAGUUCAAGAAAUUCUAAAAUUCAACUUAGGUGGUAGAUAGACACAUUAAUCGAUUCACACUAAAAUCUUUGAUUUGAGGUUUUUUUUUUUUUUUUUUUUAAGAGCUUGAUUUGAGUUUCAAAUCCUCCCUUUUACACAUUAGAAAAGUAAAAAAACCAUAACGUACAAAAAGCCCAUUAAUGCAGGACAAAAGCUAAUGAUGCAUUAGACAGAGUCAGUCCUUAAAAUUAAAAUCUGCAAGCAAAAGCGACGGAUCAACAAACCGUACUCUCAAAAGAAUAGUAAUAAAUUGGCAAAAGAGAGAACGCGACCCUAGAUCCCCUCUGUCGCCCAUCCGUGCCCAUAGAUUACGGAGUGAAGGUACAAGUCAUUAGUCAACAACACUCCAUUCAAUGUUCCAUUAAAGCAUUAAACGCAAAAAAGAGAAACUGACAAAUCCUUUUUUAAAUUAUUUUUUUCUGCUGUAAAAUACUGACAGAUCUUUCUUUUUUAAUUGAAUUAUUCCAUACCCAAAAUAAUUUCCAUUGAGACACUUAAAAAAAAUCCAACAAAAAGAAAAAAAAUAAAUUAUGUAUAUACUGUUAGUGUAUAUAAUAUUAUGAUUGGAUAAAUAAUAUCCGAAUAAAUUUUAAAUUUUAAAUUUAUAUAUUUAUCGUAUAUCUAAUAAUGAUAAUGUAUACACUAACAAUGUAUAUAAGAUCAAUUUAAGAAAAAAAUCAUCCAAAAUUGUCAGCUUAGUCUUCCCCUCAAAUUACACUAGGUAUAACCCAAGCUGGAAUCUAUUUUUACCACAUAGGCUAGUGGAAUUCUACAUUACAUUUCAUUUAUUAAAAAUCACUCACUAAUCAAGUAGUAUUAAUCAUCAUACAAAACUUGACUAAUACCACUCGUAAUAAAAAAAAAAAUCCUAAUAGGUAUUCUUUUACCAAAAUUAUUAAGAAUUACAAAAAGAUCCUUAAUCCCAAAUUCCAACCUUGUACAUUUCAUUUAUUGAAAAACACUCACUAAUCAAGUGGUAUUAAUUAUCAUAAAAAAAACUUGAUAAUACUACUUGUAAUAAAAAAAUAAAACCCAAAAAGAUAUUUCUUUUACCAAAAUUAUUAAGAAUUACAAAAAGAUUCUUAAUCCCAAAUUCCAACCCUUCUUCAACCCUACUACUUACUACUUAGUAGUAGAAUCACACCACAACACGGUCACACACUAGUGACACUACCCAAAAUCACUCCAAAACCCCUGCUUCUUCCCGCUCUCUUCUCUUCUCUCUCCAAACCAACCCCCCAACUCAGUCACCCAAAACACAACAAACACACAAGCACCCCAAGAACAGUGGAAACCACUGUAUUUACACGCACAACACACACUAAAACUACAUAUUUUACAGGGAAGAAAAAAAAAUUAGUGGGUUUGUGAGAUAUGCAACAGAGGGAUGCAGAAAAUCUUGAGGAGCCCUUGUUUAGGUAUUAUUGGAAGCCCCCCAAUUUCAUCCCUUCAUAAUUCUCCUUUUUAUAUAGGGUUUUACAAAAACCCUUUUCUCAAAAACAUCCCAGUUCGAAAAAUUACGCUAAUGCCCUCUACAGCCACCGGUUUCCACCUCCGCGGCGCCACCAGUACUAGGGCUCUCAGCCACCCAGCCGCCGCUGCUGGUAGAAGUAAAGCCCCUCUUCCGCCUUCCACGGCUAGAACCCUGAAUGUUCCCCUGUUGGGUAAUGGGUGUGGGCUUUGUAAAUGUUCGGUUGAGGGUGGUGGGGGAAGUGUUGGGCUGGUGAGGGCUUGGGUGGUGUUAAAGGAGAAUUCGAGAUGUGGGAACCGGAAGGCGUGGUUUGGGACGGUGGCUGUGGCGGAGAAGGAUGGGGGUGCUGUGGUGGAGAGUGGUGAAAAGGGUUUGGAGGCACCGGCGGAAGCUGCUGGUCAGGUGAGGGUUCAGAGGAAGCAGAGGACGGCUGCUGGUGGAGGAAGUGGUGGUGGUGGUGGGCUGCCGUCGCCAGGGAGUCCCGAUUUGUUGAGUAUUCCGGGGGUUGGACCGAGGAAUUUGAGGAAGCUGGUGGAGAAGGGUUUUGAUGGUGUUGCUAAGCUUAAGCAGCUGUAUAGAGAUAAGGUUUUUUCUUUUUUAAUAAAAUGCUUUUACAUCUACCUUUUUUUAAUUUGCUUUGUCCUAUCGUCUGGAAUGUGGUGUUAAUAGCUGUAUAGAAACCAUAAUUAGUGUUGUUUCUUUUGUUCACGUCUUAUUCAUGAGCAAUUUUUAAAUGCUUAUGCAAUCAUUUAUAUUGACUUGUGAAUGAAAAGGAGGAAAAUGGAAGAACUGGAUAUAUCUGAGAAAUGUUUUAAGGGGGCAGUAAUUGAAGGAAAGUUAUUAGGCAUGUUAUUAAUAUUUGUUUUCUCAGGGCUUGCUCGAAACAGUGGUUCUGUUCAUGUUGGUUGUACUUUUGUCUGGAAACCUGAGCAUAUAAGUGUUACAGAAACUCUAUGUAGUGUUUUCUUUAAUGACAGUGGAUGAAGUUUAUAAUUGCAUACAGGAACACCAUUUUAUGUUGAUUACAUGAAUGAAAGGGAAUAAAAUGGAGGGACAUUUUAUCAAAAAGAAACAGUUUAAGUAAAUUAUGGGUUGUAUUUGAGGGAAGUUAAGGAAGCUUUUAUUCUGCUUAGAGUGUAGGAUGUGAAUUCUGUCUUUAACUUGAUUUUGAUUGUCAUACAGUUUUGUGGGAAAUCCAGUCAAACAAUGGUUGAGUACUUACAAAGUUCAGUGGGGAUCAUCCAUAGAAACCAUGCUGAAAGCAUAACCACAUACAUUAAGGAGAGUGUGGAUGAAGAGUUAAAGGAUGAUGACACUGAAGUUAAGCUAGCCCCAAAAAAGCGUUUAACAUUUUGUGUUGAAGGGAAUAUUAGUGUUGGGAAGACAACGUUCCUGCACAGAAUAGCUCAUGAAACGCUUGAGCUCAGGGACCUUGUGGAGAUUGUUCCUGAACCCAUUGAUAAGUGGCAGAAUGUUGGGCCAGAUCACUUCAAUAUAUUGGACGCAUUUUAUGCUGAGCCACACAGGUAUGCCUAUACUUUCCAGAACUACGUGUUUGUCACUAGAGUUAUGCAGGAGAGAGAAUCUUCUGGUGGUAUCAAGCCUCUCAGAUUGAUGGAAAGAAGUGUUUUCAGUGAUAGAAUGGUGGGUAUUCUCUUCUUAAGUAAUUCAUGUUUUAUUAGUGUUUAAGCUUGUUAACUAUAAGCUUCUACUUGCAUUUUUUAAUUGGUAUUGUGGACACUGGAUUUGAAAGGAUAUGAAACUUAAUGAGGUUUAACAAGUUUUAUUCAUCCUCUUGGUUUAGGUGUUUGUCAGAGCCGUUCAUGAAGCAAAAUGGAUGAAUGAGAUGGAAAUUAGCAUUUAUGACUCAUGGUUUGAUCCUGUUGUUUCUUGUUUGCCUGGGCUUAUCCCCGAUGGGUUCAUCUACCUUAGGGCAAGCCCUGAUACUUGCCACAAAAGAAUGUUGUUACGUAAAAGAGAAGAGGAAGGUGGGGUCUCUCUAGAUUACUUGCGCGACUUGCAUGAAAAGCACGAGAGUUGGCUUUUCCCAUUCCAAAGUGGAAAUCAUGGUGUGCUUUCUGUUAGUGAGAUUCCCCAGCGGUUUGACUCUUCUCUACCUCCAGAUAUUAGAGACCGUGUGUUUCAUUUGGAAGGUGAUCAUAUGCACUCAAGCAUUCAGAAGGUAACUUUCUUCAGACUUUAUUCUUUUCGAUAAAUAUGAUGUUUGCAUUUCUUACUUGGAUCUGUUGGCAAUGAACAGAUUCCAGCUCUGGUCCUUGAUUGUGAGCCAAACAUUGAUUUUAGCAAAGAUGUCGAAGCAAAGAGGCAGUAUGUUCCAUGUUCCCUCUCUGUUUAGUAAUUAUUUUGGGCUGUUUAUUUGCUGUUGACAAUCACUAUCUGCCAGAAUGUGUUGAUAUUCACUAAGAAAUGCUUAGUCUUGAAAUACAGUUUGUACUGGCCAUUUUAUGUGUUGAUUUUAUCUGAAGUCUACAGUUUGUGCUUAGCAGACUUUUCUGGUUUUCACCAUGAUGACAACUUGUUUGACACAGAUGCUAGAGAAAGAAAAAUGAAUCUUACAAGUUUGAGUGUUUCUUGCCUUUUUUGUUAUUUGAGGUCUUAGUUUUGGAAUUUUGCAUUUUUGUGGUUUCGUUUUUGAUACUUCCUCUUGCUCUUUUAGUUUCUAAUAUUUCUUGUUCUUGCUUCUUAAUAGAUGCAAUUGAUGCUUUUAUCCUUUAUUUCCCUUUUUGUGCUUUAGCGUGCAUCUUAUAUUUCCUUAUUUCCUGGUUGUGUGAUCAUUCAAUUUCAUCUGCCUUAUGUGAUCUAUGCUGUACACAGUUACGCACGUCAAGUUGCAGAGUUCUUUGAAUUUGUGAAGAAAGGGAAAGAAGAUUCACCCGUCAGUGAAGAUGCAUCGAAGGGUAAUCAGCCACAGGUAUUGCUGCCUCAUCAAAGAGGAUUAUGGGUACCAGAUGGAAAGUAUUUCCCUGAGUCACCACUGAAGUCCUUGGAUUUCAGAAAAGCAAUGCCAUUAACGUCUCCAUAGUGAACUUGUUUGACCUUGGUGAUUUUAGUAGGGUUUCUGUCUUUCAACCGUCUCAAAGACUGUAUGUAGUUCCUGUGCUUGUAAAAAGAUGAAUUAACCCCUAAAACUUCAGCGGUUAGAGUUUGUAGAGCUAGUUGGGAGGCUAGUGGAUGCUUGUAGUAUGCUUUUAGGGUCCGUUUGUUUCAGGUGAAAAUGUUUUCCAGGAAAAUAUUUUCCUAAUUUCCCGUGUUUGGUUGCACAAAAGUUACUGAAAACAUUUUCCUAUGUAAAAUAUUUUCACUCAUCUUAUGGAAAACAACUUUCCUUUCAAACUUACUGAAGUUGUUUUCCGAAAUACAUGCAUCCCGUCUGUAGUAUGUUCCAAACUUACUGAAAAUAUCUUGUAGUAUGUUCUCUUUUUUUUUUUAGUGUAAACAUGAGGACUCGAACCCAAGACCUCUUCCUUACACUCCCUCCCCCGUACCACCCAACCAUCCCCCUAGUAUAUUCAAAAUAAAAAAAACACCUCAUCCUGCUCAUCCUAUGCUAGUAAUUAAUUAUGUAUAAUAGGGAUAUUCUUUUCUAGAGAAACUUUCAACAGUGAGAGUGCAAGAUAUAUGUCACAAUAAGCAUUGCAUGUGAUUGAUAUUUGACACUAAAUGGCCAGCAAUUUGUUUAUUAUUUAAGGAGAUAUUUUUUAUUCAUAUAUACAUUUCUUUAAGAUUUUUUAAAGUUAAACAAUGAGAUAAAUUUUUUUAUUUUGCAUGGGAAGAAAUAUGUAGUUAUAAUGUGUAGAAACUAAAGAUAGAGAUAAAAGUGAAAAUAUUUUAAAAGUUAAACAAACAUCAGAAAAAUGAAGUAAGAAAAUAUUUUCAAUAAGCUAACCAAACACCUGAAAAUGAUAAAAGGAAAAUGAUUUUCAUGGAAAAUUACUUCCACGAAAAAUAUUUUCUCAAGAAAAACAUUUUACUUUCAACCAAACAUACCCUUAAUGUAGAUUCAUUUCUUGUGAAGGUGAAAAUGUUCUUGAAUUAUUGCUUUUUAUGUAUGAGAAUCAGAGACGGUCUCAAUGUCAUUUCCAGUCACCUGCAUUUCUGCAUUUGAAUUAUUGCUUUUUACGGACGAAUUGGCUUUUUAAAAGCCUUAAUAUCUGCAUCUGGAUCUACUCAAAAUCUCGAUAUUUUCUUGAGAGUAAAAUGAGAAAUUAUAAAGGAAAGAGGAAAAUUUAAAAUUAAAAGAAUUGAAAGGUUAAAAAAAUUAUAUUUUAAGAAAGUGAUAUAAAUAAUUUUUUAAUUACUUAAAGAGAAGAUAGAUUUCUACAAUUUUUUUUUUAAUUUCAAUCAUUAAGGUGAAAAUUUUUGUGAAAAAGAGGAAGAAUUAAAUAAAGAAGGAAGAGAAAAAGAAAUAAAAGAAAGGAAAACAAGGUAAAUGAAAAAUCAAAAUAAUGCAAGGGUAAUUUUGUUUUAAAGGGGUUAAGUGAGCAAAAUUAAAGAUUAGAGGGUAAACUAAAAAAUGAGGUAUUCUUUAAGGGGAUAAAAUGUGAUUAACCCUAAAGAAAAUUGUAUGCAUUUUUUUUUUUAAUGUAAGUGGGAGGAUUUGAAUUCGGCAUCUCUCACUUAUACUCUUUCUUUCGAACCACCAGUCCAUUCUUCUUCCAAAUCAUAUGCGUUUAUCAAAUUAGAUGUUACAACUUGUAUAAUAAAUUGUAUAUUGAAUAUCUUGUAUUAUAAUGAAUUGUAGUCCAACGGUUGAUAGAGGGAUACGGGGCAGGAGCGGUCGUCCUGACGACCGCUCCUGAACGGUCCUCUCACAAGCAAAAACAUGAGGAGAAAAAUGAUCCACGUCAAGAAGGCUUAAGAAGGGGCAAAAACGACGCCGUUCCAAAUUAAAAAAUUUGGGCUUCCAAACGGAAUCAGACGGAGCAAACGGUAGAGUUGAAAUUUUGAAAAGCAAAUUGAAAUUUUGAAUUAGCCGCACAAAACGAAAUUGAGGGAAGAGGCUUGGCGUACUCCGUCUGAAGAUAGGGAGCUCAGUUUUCUUUUUUCAGAAACCUCGUAUCUCAGUUUUCUUUCUUAGAAAACUGUAGCACAAAAUUCACAGAGCUGAAGGAAGAGGCUUGGCGUGCUCCGUCUGAAGAUAGGGAGUUGACAGAAAACUCUUAUCUUAGUUUUCUUUUCUCAGAAAACUCGACACAAUUUCCGUCCGAGAGUGUUACCGAGAAACUGAGAAGAGACUUUGGUGACUGGGUCAGCAAAUGUUGUAUCCAUUUUAAAUGCUUACAAGGCUUGCAGGAAGGUAGAAGCAAACAGAGAAAAUUCAACAUGUCAUAAAACACCAGAUUCUGUCCUUCAACUUAAUAGCAGAAGCAGCUGCACUCUCUGAAUUUGGUGAAAUGUAGAGUGUAUUAGCAGACGAAGGUAACGUGACUGAACCAUAUAACUAACUGUGGCCAAUUAUUUGUCAUCCAAAUGCACAUCUGUUAAAUGAAAGAUGAAAUUAGAUUCACUGAAGACAUCAUAUGAAGAUGAUAGAAGAAUAGUAAAAUUGUACCGUAUCUGUGUGUGUGUGUGAGCAUUUAGCUUUUCAGUGAUGAACUAUAAUGGGAUAGUAGUCAUCGGAAGACCCAGGGGUAUGUAUUGAAAUCAAGCGGAAUUAGUGAAAGAUGAGAGAAAUAAAGUCACAUUUAACAAGUGAACGAAUGUACAUCCUGUUGUAAAUUAGUUACAGGUUAUAGGUACUGUAUUACAAUUGAUAUGAAUCAUUGUGCAUCUAAUAGUUGGUCCAUACUCAUGACACAAUCUUAGUUUGCCCUUCUCUCCUGACCAUGCAGUGUGUAUAUAAUGGAGGUGCAGAAUUAAAUGAGGUAAAACAGAGGAAAAGACCGACCUAUGUGAAUAAUAAAUGGGUGUACCUGGUGUUGUAAGUAAAUUACAUGAUGUAAUAAAUAUAUUACAAUGAGUAGAAAAUGCUUAUUUGGCCCUCAAAAUAUAGAAAUAGUAAAAAAUACGGAGUUGGCUUAGGCGGUUGUCAUUGACGAAUGACAUAAGGUCCAGUGAACAAAGUACCUAGAACCUAAAUAUAAUCAUCCGAGUGGAUGUACAUACAGUUAAAAUAUACUUACAACAUGUGACCAACACAUUACAAUAUGUAUAACUUAUUGUACACGGAGUUGUAUUUGUACAUACAUAAUAUCGUUGUCUUAGAGUAUAAUAGGAUUUGGUGUACGAGUAUUUGUACAAUAUUAAUCAUAUCGAUGAACGUAAUAAUAGGAUUUGGUAUACGAAUAAUGUGUGUAACAUAACACAUUAUGAAUGGUAAUAUACAUUUAUGUUGUCGUUUAUGUACAUACCAUUCAUGAACUGCUGCAAAUUAAGGUGUUUGAUGCAUAAUUAGUAGGAGCAGAAGUAACGGAUUGUAACAAAUUGGUAGAAGAUAGGACCCCUGAAUUAGAAAUGGAGUUCAAUAGUGAAGAGGAUGCGCACAAGUUUUACAACAACUAUGCCUUUAAAACGGAUUUUAAUGUAUGCAAAGACUAUCUAAAUAAAGACAAAGACGGUGUGACGACGUCUAGGAGAUAUAGUUACUGCAAGGAAGGUGUAAAACGCAAGUACGAAGGUGAUGUGAUGCCAAAAAGGACACGAGCGCCGACGAAAACAGGGUGUGGAACUAAAAUGGUUAUUGUGUUGCUUAGAGAUAUAAUGAAGUACCGUGUACAUGACCUUAUCUUAGAACAUAACCAUGAGUUGCACAUUGCUUAAUGUUCGCACAUGAUGCCAUUACAAAGAAAAGUGAGUGAGGCUCAAGGAUUCCAAGUUGAAACAAGCGAGGAUGCUGGGAUUUCAUUGAAACAGAGCCAUGAGCUUAUGGGAAAGGAGGCAGGUGGGAUGAAAAAUGUGGGAUAUACUCGGGAAGACCUGAAACGAUAUCUUCUUACUCGAUGGGAAAGGAGUUUGAAAUAUGGAGAAGCAGGUAACAUGCUGAAUUAUUUUCAAGAGCAAACACUCUAGAAUCCAUCCUUUUUUCAUGCCGUACAGCUGAAUUGUGAAGGGCAGAUAUUUAAUAUCUUUUGGCUUGAUGUAGGAAUGUUAAUUGAUUACAACUUUUUUGGAGACGUAGUCACAUUCGACACAACCUACAAAAUAAAUAAAGAAUACCUCCCACUUGGAGUGUUUGUGGGUUUUAACCAACAUAGGCGAAUUGUGAUAUUCGGUGCUGCCCUUAUGUGUGAUGAGACUAUAGAUUCUUUCAAAUAGGUAUUUGGUACAUUUCUAGAAGUAAUGUGCGGAAAGCGUCCAAAUACCAUAUUAACCGAUCAAGAUCACGCCAUGGCAGCCGCUCUUUCAGUUGUCAUGCCAGAAACAUUUCACGGUCUAUAUACGUUUCACAUAAGGCGUAAUUUUAUGAAAUAUCUUGGCAAUCAUUACAAGAAAAAUAGUGAUAUUCCAUACAUGUUUGGUGCCUGCAUGUAUGAGUUUGAAGAAGUGGAACAGUUCAAUAGGGUGUGGGAGGCGAUGGUGAAAAAAUACAAUCUUGAAAAUAAUAAAUGGCUUUUCGAGUUGUAUCGAAUUCGUGAUGAGUGGGCAAGGUGUAUGAUGAAAGAAAGAUAGACCGCGGGAAUGCAAAGCACCCAAUUUAGCGAAAGCCUAAAUGUAGCAAUUAAAAAUCAUUUGAAACUGGAUCAUGAUCUUGUGCAGUUCUUUAGACAUUUCAAUCGAGUGAUUGAUGAUAAGAGACAUAAUGAACUCAUCGCAGAUUAUGAAAUGAGGCAAAAGCUCCCUAUGGUUGGGUUGAGGCAAACACCUGUGCUUGUACAUGCAGCAGAGACGUAUUCACCCACCGUAUUUGUUGCAUUCCAAAAUGAAUAUGGCGAGUCAACAGCUAUGGUUAUAUUGAGACAACAAGAUGCAGGGAUGUUUGUAGAGUUUGCGGUCAUGAGAUAUGAUGGAGGAUCUGAAAGAAUAGUGGUAUUCAAUCGGAAUGAUCUAAGUGUACAUUGUAGUUGCAAAAAAUACGAGAAUGAAGGAAUUUUGUGUGGACACUCAUUGAAGGUGUUUGAUACCGUAGGCAUAAAGACAAUUCCUUUUGAAUACGUUAAGAGACGAUGGAGAAGAAGAGCUCGAGCUGGAGACUGUUUUGAUCGGUAAGGACGGGAAAUUAUAGCUGAUCCAAAAGCAAUCAUUUCAACUAGUUAUCGGGAGCUCGCUCCAGCCAUGAUUAAGGUCGCAACUCGAACAGCAAUGUCGGAGGACACCAGUAAAAUAGCAAUCACUGUCACAUCCGAUUUGGCAAAGAGAGUUGAACUCUUCCUCUCAGAAAGCGAAGAGCAACCUUUGCAAAAUCAAAAAAAUCUGAAUGUCGAGAAAUAGGAUAAAAUUGAAAUUGUAAAUGAAAUGAGGGAGGCAGUAGUCGCAAGAGGCAUUAAAAAAUGAGGUGGUGGGAAGAAAAUUAGAAUGAUGCGAAGUUGGGUUGAUAAAUUUGACAGAGUAAAAAGAAAAUCUAGACUGUCAAGGACUACACAGACUACGGUAUGGAUCAAAUUUUGGUACUAGGGGAACAUUUAUGCUAAAACUAAGUUAUCGUUAUACUAUUAACUAAAGUUUAGGUACCAUUAAUUAUGAAAUAAUAUUAUUGCCGUGUCAAUACUGUAGGUCUCAGAAUCGGAGCCGACAUCUGUUUCAUUUGAGGAAUACAUGUUUAUGGGAUGCUGUUCAUCUACUGAUUCUGUUUCGAUUAGUAUAAAAUGGACAUGACUGUUGCUUUUAUUUAGAUGUUUCUAACAGCAUAAAUAGUUACAUUGAUGUUACAUUGUGUGACAAUGUUGUUAUGGCCGUCAUCCCUUCUGAUAUACCUAUUUUAUUUGUCUUAUACAAUGAAUUGGCCCAUACGAAACUCGUAGACCCAUUCAAUGAGUCAGACAGUGAAUGGCCCUCCAAACGCUGUUGCUCCUGAUAUCGAUGAAAGUGAAACGGUAUGCAUAUAUUUAGUAGUUAAAAUAAAGACCUUCUUAUUCGUGUAGUAGAACUAUCUUUUUUUCUUUAAUUGUAAUUGUGGGCACCCGAACGUUGUCAAAUCAUGCAAAUUAUGUAGUUAACGUCUGUUCGCUUUAAUAACAUAUUAUUUUUUAUUAUGCGAACCUCCACCGUUUGACUAAUCAGGGGCCUCCUGCAAGUGUCCCUACAGAAUGGAUGCAUCCCAAAUUAUCUAUUUUUUUCAACCAUAACGCCGUCAGAGAUAUUUUAAUGGUCUGAUAUAUCAUUUUUGUUAUAAUGUCUAGUCUAAUUUAACGUUAUAAGUGAGCAAUAUAGGCACUGGUAAUGAUUUGUGGACAGCCAAUUACUUAUACUACGUAAUGUAAGAGGAGCGUGCGGCAAUUUCAACACACUGUGAUGUUGAUGCAUAUCAUGUAUUUGCACCAUCACCGCAGGUGACAAACUUUUAUCAUUAAAGCACAUGUUUAUGUAAUAUUGUUAAUUGGAGACUUGGAUAUCGUAUAUCAUUAAUUGUAUGUUUCAUUAAUAAUAUUUGCUGAUUUGCCAUCGUUUCGCAUUUCAGGGAGGAAAUAACACUCAGGGAUUGCAACUACGCGUUGAUGUGGCCUCUCCCGAGAAUGAGAUUGAUGAAUGAUGUGUAACUAUACUUUUUGAACGAGACAUUAAGUGGCUGUUCCAACCUGAAAAUUCUGCAUAUGUAUGUUACAAGCAAUUAAUAAUCUGUUACAACUUAUUGACGAGGUUGUACAGGCACCAUUGAUGUACGAGGAUCUUUGUAUUACAAGGAUGAGUAUUACGGAUAGUAUCACAAGCUUAUAUCAGUAGGUAUUACUCCUUCAGUAUAGAAAUGAAGUUACAAUUGAUGGCUCGGCUUGGUUCCCAUUGACCACAUAAUAAGUAACAGUUUCGUAGAAGAACAUGAUAUUUCGUUGGAACUAAUUUGAAAAUAGGGUAACUAAUAUUUAAAAUACAACAAAUUUUGAUUACGCGAUGUACAUUUUGAGUUACAACCAGUUAUGUAUAUUUUACAAAUCAUUACAACUAAUGAAUUUGCAAUUGACAGUUUUUCGGAUAUCUAGUUAAAACUAGUGAUAUUAUAAUUAGAAAUUCCCUGAUAUUACAACUAGUGAUACUACAACUAGUUAAUAUCCGAUGAACAUUUCCUCUUUUCUUGUAUGUGCUAUUGCCCUCGGUACAAACAAUAAGUCCUCCCCCCAACACAUAAAAUUUCUUAGACACUUUAGUAAGUAUCUAAUAAGAACAUAGAGAUGGCCGAUUUGAACCCCAAAACAAUUGAUGUAGCGAGAUCUUCUCGAACAUUUCAUUAAAUUAGCGAGAUCUUCCUGAACAUCAUGCAAUCUACUGGCUGUUCUUUGGCACCCAAGAAUUUGAUUUCUGUGUGAACCCUCUAUUGAUGACACUGCAAUUGAAGUUAGAGGAGGAUUGAAGAAUACUAAUAACAAAUUUCAGGCACGGGUUCAUUGUUACCCUUCAGUAGAAUAAAAUGGAAAGUGUGAAGAAUAAAACGAAAAAAUUUUUCUCUAACUGGGAUAUAAUACUGCAACCACGCCCUUUUACAGUGCGCAGGACCCUCACAAUGUGCUAAAAUAUGCCUAGACAACGCAUUCCAGGCCAAACAAUUUUGUCAUGGCAGUAGAAACUGUAGAGUUCGAUGUAUGCCAUUGAACUAUGUCAAAUCUGUUCAGACAAUAAAACAAAUUAUGCAGAUUUUGUAAUGAAAUGACCUGUGCACCAAUAUUUAGAGUCACGUGUAUAAAGAGUUACACAUCAGUGACCUGUACGUUUCACUAUGUACGGAUUGUAUUACAACCAGUUAGGUGUGUGUUACAAUUCAUUAUAACCAAUGAAUUUGCAAUCAGCAGCUUUUCGUCUGCUGUAUUUAAAACUGAAUAAUAUUCCAACUAGAUAUUCCCCGAUGUUACAACUAGUGAUAAUACAACUAGUUAAUAUUGGAUUAACCUUUCCUCUUCUCUUGUUUGUGCUAUUACCCUUCAGAUAAGCUGGCAGAUAAGCUGGCAUCAGACAGCUUAUUGAAUUUUUCCAUUUUUAAAAUUCCUUCCUGCAUCCAAUAACAUGGACGAGUAUGAGCAGUGUAAAAGACAUCAGUAAUAGUGCGUUGGCUCGUAAUACCAAUUUAGAUAUGAUGCUGACAAAAUUUAGCACAUAAUAGGAUACAGUCCAAAUUUCAAACUCACAACUGCUAGAGGUUCAACGAUGUAGCAUUCAAACUUCAUACUUUUGGUAGUUUUUCCACCCCAAUUCAUGAGAAGGGCAAGCAUGUCAACCACCUAAUCAAUAUCUAAUGGUUUCCAAAACAUGUAAUUGACUGUUACAAUUGCGUUUACGUAUCACUAAUCAAUCAAUAAAUUGACGCUCAAAAUUUUUUAAUAAACAUAAUAAACUACUGACCCGAUUCGAUACAUGCAUGCCAUUUUCGAGUGUCUUCAAGUCAAGCCGUGUCAGUGAGAAUUGAAACAUUUGAAUAAGUAUGUCCCUAUCAAAUCCGAGCCACAAUUGAACGAUUUACUAAUAAAAAAUAAUCGUACUCCAAAAAACGGACAUGUAAUAAUGAAGUCAAUUCUCAUCCAUUUUCAUACUAUUUUCCUGGGCCAUCUUACAAUGAACCACAUGCGUACUUAUCGAAGAAAAUGGCUCACAAGAUCGAAUUAAUAGUUUUGUCAAGAAUCUUACUUGGGAUUUUUGUUGGGGUCCCAUGCAUAUGCAACCACAUUUUUAUCGUACAUGCUUACUGUCACAGGUGCAGGUAGAAUGAACUCCGCUGACCGCAGAACGAUGCUCUUCUUUGUUGCACGUGUAGACUUGUGCUUCAUCUCAACGUCAGGACCUCCUAAAAAAUAAAGAACAUGCAUUUCACAUACAAUUUAUCUGUUGUUGUGUAACAAAUUGUAAAGCAUUUUGGAACAGUAUUCAAACACAAUGUAACUAACAGUCUAGAAACAUCAAUCGAUUAAUUUUCAAACUCACUGUAACUGUCCCAAUAACUAUUUUGUAACGCCCUUCAAACACACUGUAACUAACACUCUUCAAACAGUUUUGUAUUAAUUUUCAAACACACUAUAACUUCCCAAUAACUAUUUUGUAACAACCUACAAUCACACUGUAACAUGUAAUCAUCAAACAUGGAGUUUUGUAUUAGUUUUCACAUUCUAACUUCCCAAUGAAGUAUUUUGUAACAACUUUCAAUAACAUUUAACUUUCUAAUAACUAUUUUGUAGCAACCUACAAACACUUCGUAACUAACAGUUUACGAAUAUGGAGUUCUGUACUAAUUUGCAAACUAUACCUUCCCAAAUAACUAUUUUGUAACAAUUUUUGAACAUACUGUAACUUCCCAAUAACUAUUUUGUAACAACCGACAAACACUUCGUAACCAAUAGUCUUCAAAUAUGGAGUUUUGUAUUAAUUUUCAAACUGCAACUUCUCAAAUAACUAUUUUGUAACAGUCUUUGAACGCACUAUAACUUUCCAAUAACUAUUUUGUAACAACCUACAAACAAUUCGUAACUAACAGUCAUCAUAUAUGAAGUUUUGUAUUAAUUUUUAAACUGUAACUUCCCAAUAACUAAUUUUAUAACAAACUAUAAACCCACUGUAAACAGUCUUUAAAUAUGAAGUUUUGUAUUAAUUUUUAAUCUGUAACGUCCCAAGUAAUUUUUUUCGUAACAAUCUUUAAACACACUGUAACUUCUUAAUAACUAUUUUAUAACAAUCUUCAAACACGAUGUAACUAACAGUUUUUCAAACACACUGUAACUUCCCAAUUGGCUUAACAUGACAUUAGGCUUAUCUGGAUGUGGUUGAAAUAAAGUCAUACUUAAUUAUUAUACUCAAUUCAGUUUGUCGUGUCCGUUUUAUAUGCAGCUGACAUUGGUGUGUUAUAACACUAUGCCUACAAGUUUUGAAUGAUGACUAGUGACAAUUCAGACCCAUAUACAUAGCAUCAUGAUGGUAUAAACAGAGUUACCGUGUGUGUAUAUAGUUGUUACAGUCAUGUUAUUUGAAUUAGAACCUUAUGAAUAUUAUAACUGUACCAACCUUUCCACUUUCGACCAUAUGAUCGCAACCUACAUGGUGCUUCUAGCGGAUGUAGAUGUGACGUCGAUGCACUAGCGUUCAAAGGUGGUUGCACCGUUGAUUGAUCUUUUUCGGCAAGUUCUAUGACAUUUGACCUAUAUUGCUCAUGCUCAUGCUCUUGAAGGUGUAUAAUGCUUCCUUGCUCAGUUGUUGUCAUGGUGGCCCCUUGUUGCAAUCCCUGACUGAUGUUAUCGGAUACGACUGAUGAGGUAGGAAUUGGAUUCUCCAUGCCCAUUACAUCUUUAUUCAGCUCUAGGUUUGGAAUGGCUUCAAUAUUUGUCCUCGUAUUAGCAUCGUCUUCUUCACUCUGCAAUGCAUUAUACUCAACUUCUUCAGACCCUUCCGCAUCAAAUUCAUCAGCAUCAUCCUCCUCAUCGUUGCCCCCUUCUUUGGCAGAUUGAAAUUCCAGCUCUUCUUCGGUAUCAGGACUCUUGUGCAUUGUAUAGUCCUCCUGUAUAGGUUUUUUUUCCUUUGUCCAAUGCUUCAGGCCCAGAAGUGGAAGCUUUUGCUCUUGGCUGAGAAGCGAGCAUUUCUGCAAUCUUUAAUAUUCUUCGUUGGCUGCUAACAGCAACGUUAUACAGCUCAUUUAACUCAACCUGCAGUUACAUGACGACAUUAUCAAUCCAUAAAUGACCCACAUGCUCUCAAGAAUGGAAUACAAUACAUGCAUAUACAAUACUACAUUUAAGUGAAAGUUCUUAAUUUAAUAUUUGUACUGCUGGCUUAGAUUCUAUAACUUUAAAUUCUAUGGUAUUAAAUAAAAUGGUCAACGCGAACAUCAGGCCAAAAGAUAUUAGUUAUCUGCCCUUCACAAUUCAGCUGUACGGCAUGAAAAAAGGAUGGAUUCUCGAGUGUUUGCUCUUGAAAAUAAUUCAGCAUGUUACCUGCUUCUCCAUAUUUCAAACUCCUUUCCCGUCGAGUACGAAGAUAUCGUUUCAGGUCUUUCCGAGUAUAUCCCACAUUUUCCAUCCCACCUGCCUCCUUUCCCAUAAGCUCAUGGCUCUGUUUCAAUGAAAUCCCAGCAUCCUCGCUUGUUUCAACUUGGAAUCCUUGAGCCUCACUCACUUUUCUUUGUAAUGGCAUCAUGUGCGAACAUUAAGCAAUGUGCAACUCAUGGUUAUGUUCUAAGAUAAGGUCAUGUACACGGUACUUCAUUAUCUCUCUAAGCAACACAAUAACCAUUUUAGUUCCACACCCUGUUUUCGUUGGCGCUCGUGUCCUUUUUGGCAUCACAUCACCUUCGUACUUGCGUUUUACACCUUCCUUGCAGUAACUAUAUCUCCUAGACGUCGUCACACCGUCUUUGUCUUUAUUUAGAUAGUCUUUGCAUACAUUAAAAUCCGUUUUAAAGGCAUAGUUGUUGUAAAACUUGUGCGCAUCCUCUUCACUAUUGAACUCCAUUUCUAAUUCAGGGGUCCUAUCUUCUACCAAUUUGUUACAAUCCGUUACUUCUGCUCCUACUAAUUAUGCAUCAAACACCUUAAUUUGCAGCAGUUCAUGAAUGGUAUGUACAUAAACGACAACAUAAAUGUAUAUUACCAUUCAUAAUGUGUUAUGUUACACACAUUAUUCGUAUACCAAAUCCUAUUAUUACGUUCAUCGAUAUGAUUAAUAUUGUACAAAUACUCGUACACCAAAUCCUAUUAUACUCUAAGACAACGAUAUUAUGUAUGUACAAAUACAACUCCGUGUACAAUAAGUUAUACAUAUUGUAAUGUGUUGGUCACAUGUUGUAAGUAUAUUUUAACUGUAUGUACAUCCACUCGGAUGAUUAUAUUUAGGUUCUAGGUACUUUGUUCACUGGACCUUAUGUCAUUCGUCAAUGACAACCGCCUAAGCCAACUCCGUAUUUUUUACUAUUUCUAUAUUUUGAGGGCCAAAUAAGCAUUUUCUACUCAUUGUAAUAUAUUUAUUACAUCAUGUAAUUUACUUACAACACCAGGUACACCCAUUUAUUAUUCACAUAGGUCGGUCUUUUCCUCUGUUUUACCUCAUUUAAUUCUGCACCUCCAUUAUAUACACACUGCAUGGUCAGGAGAGAAGGGCAAACUAAGAUUGUGUCAUGAGUAUGGACCAACUAUUAGAUGCACAAUGAUUCAUAUCAAUUGUAAUACAGUACCUAUAACCUGUAACUAAUUUACAACAGGAUGUACAUUCGUUCACUUGUUAAAUGUGACUUUAUUUCUCUCAUCUUUCACUAAUUCCGCUUGAUUUCAAUACAUACCCCUGGGUCUUCCGAUGACUACUAUCCCAUUAUAGUUCAUCACUGAAAAGCUAAAUGCUCACACACACACACACAGAUACGGUACAAUUUUACUAUUCUUCUAUCAUCUUCAUAUGAUGUCUUCAGUGAAUCUAAUUUCAUCUUCAUUUAACAGAUGUGCAUUUGGAUGACAAAUAAUUGGCCACAGUUAGUUAUAUGGUUCAGUCACGUUACCUUCGUCUGCUAAUACACUCUACAUUUCACCAAAUUCAGAGAGUGCAGCUGCUUCUGCUAUUAAGUUGAAGGACAGAAUCUGGUGUUUUAUGACAUGUUGAAUUUCCUCUGUUUGCUUCUACCUUCCUGCAAGCCUUGUAAGCAUUUAAAAUGGAUACAACAUUUGCUGACCCAGUCACCAAAGUCUCUUCUCAGUUUCUCGGUAACACUCUCGGACGGAAAUUGUGUCGAGUUUUCUGAGAAAAGAAAACUAAGAUAAGAGUUUUCUGUCAACUCCCUAUCUUCAGACGGAGCACGCCAAGCCUCUUCCUUCAGCUCUGUGAAUUUUGUGCUACAGUUUUCUAAGAAAGAAAACUGAGAUACGAGGUUUCUGAAAAAAGAAAACUGAGCUCCCUAUCUUCAGACGGAGUACGCCAAGCCUCUUCCCUCAAUUUCGUUUUGUGCGGCUAAUUCAAAAUUUCAAUUUGCUUUUCAAAAUUUCAACUCUACCGUUUGCUCCGUCUGAUUCCGUUUGGAAGCCCAAAUUUUUUAAUUUGGAACGGCGUCGUUUUUGCCCCUUCUUAAGCCUUCUUGACGUGGAUCAUUUUUCUCCUCAUGUUUUUGCUUGUGAGAGGACCGUUCAGGAGCGGUCGGCCUGACGACCGCUCCUGCCCCGUAUCCUUGAUGGAGGUUCUCCACAUGAAUACCUUAAUUAAUUAAUUAAUUAUUUUUUUUGUGUUUUUGGUCGUGAACUUAAUUAAAUGUACAUCAAACUACAACCACAGGUACUCAAUGGAUGUACUAACGCGUCUUUUUGUCCGAAGGUACUAACACCCAUCCGAACAAAUGCUCUUGACUGGAUUUGAUUUUCAGUAGCAGAACAAUUAUCUAUUCUUGUUUUUAUCUGUUUUUGUUUUUAAAAAAUUUAAUUUUGGACGUCCAUGAUCAAGUCAAAUUAACGGUUGAGGAUUCGUAAUAUGACUAUAGAAGGUAACUAAAUGAGGAUUUUUAUUGGAGACCGAAUAUGUCUUAAAAGUAUUAUCCCAAGCCAAUAAUUGACUCUUAACAAUGCAAUUGUUUUGCCUCUUGUCUUGGAUCUUCAAGUGCUAUCAUUGGUAACAGAGUUCAGCAAUUACUCUUAAGGGCUAAAAUUCCUUUAUUUCCGCUUUUAGAGCUUAAAUGCUCUCAUUUGUAAUUGUUGAGUUGUAAACUUGUUAAGACACUGAAGUUAAGCUAGCCCCAAAAAAGCGUUUAACAUUUUGUGUUGAAGGGAAUAUUAGUGUUGGGAAGACAACGUUCCUGCACAGAAUAGCUCAUGAAACGCUUGAGCUCAGGGACCUUGUGGAGAUUGUUCCUGAACCCAUUGAUAAGUGGCAGAAUGUUGGGCCAGAUCACUUAAAUAUAUUGGACGCAUUUUAUGCUGAGCCACACAGGUAUGCCUAUACUUUCCAGAACUACGUGUUUGUCACUAGAGUUAUGCAGGAGAGAGAAUCUUCUGGUGGUAUCAAGCCUCUCAGAUUGAUGGAAAGAAGUGUUUUCAGUGAUAGAAUGGUGGGUAUUCUCUUCUUAAGUAUUUCAUGUUUUAUUAGUGUUUAAGCUUGUUAACUAUAAGCUUCUACUUGCAUUUUUUAAUUGGUAUUGUGGACGCUGGAUUUGAAAGGAUAUGAAACUUAAUGAGGUUUAACAAGUUUUAUUCAUCCUCUUGGUUUAGGUGUUUGUCAGAGCCGUUCAUGAAGCAAAAUGGAUGAAUGAGAUGGAAAUUAGCAUUUAUGACUCAUGGUUUGAUCCUGUUGUUUCUUGUUUGCCUGGGCUUAUCCCCGAUGGGUUCAUCUACCUUAGGGCAAGCCCUGAUACUUGCCACAAAAGAAUGUUGUUACGUAAAAGAGAAGAGGAAGGUGGGGUCUCCCUAGAUUACUUGCGCGACUUGCAUGAAAAGCACGAGAGUUGGCUUUUCCCAUUCCAAAGUGGAAAUCAUGGUGUGCUUUCUGUUAGUGAGAUUCCCCAGCAGUUUGACUCUUCUCUACCUCCAGAUAUUAGAGACCGUGUGUUUCAUUUGGAAGGUGAUCAUAUGCACUCAAGCAUUCAGAAGGUAACUUUCUUCAGACUUUAUUCUUUUCGAUAAAUAUGAUGUUUGCAUUUCUUACUUGGAUCUGUUGGCAAUGAACAGAUUCCAGCUCUGGUCCUUGAUUGUGAGCCAAACAUUGAUUUUAGCAAAGAUGUCGAAGCAAAGAGGCAGUAUGUUCCAUGUUCCCUCUCUGUUUAGUAAUUAUUUUGGGCUGUUUAUUUGCUGUUGACAAUCACUAUCUGCCAGAAUGUGUUGAUAUUCACUAAGAAAUGCUUAGUCUUGAAAUACAGUUUGUACUGGCCAUUUUAUGUGUUGAUUUUAUCUGAAGUCGACAGUUUGUGCUUAGCAGACUUUUCUGGUUUUCACCAUGAUGACAACUUGUUUGACACAGAUGCUAGAGAAAGAAAAAUGAAUCUUACAAGUUUGAGUGUUUCUUGCCUUUUUUGUUAUUUGAGGUCUUAGUUUUGGAAUUUUCCAUUUUUGUGGUUUCGUUUUUGAUACUUCCUCUUGCUCUUUUAGUUUCUAAUAUUUCUUGUUCUUGCUUCUUAAUAGAUGCAAUUGAUGCUUUUAUCCUUUAUUUCCCUUUUUGUGCUUUAGCGUGCAUCUUAUAUUUCCUUAUUUCCUGGUUGUGUGAUCAUUCAAUUUCAUCUGCCUUAUGUGAUCUAUGCUGUACUCAGUUACGCACGUCAAGUUGCAGAGUUCUUUGAAUUUGUGAAGAAAGGGAAAGAAGAUUCACCCGUCAGUGAAGAUGCAUCGAAGGGUAAUCAGCCACAGGUAUUGCUGCCUCAUCAAAGAGGAUUAUGGGUACCAGAUGGAAAGUAUUUCCCUGAGUCACCACUGAAGUCCUUGGAUUUCAGAAAAGCAAUGCCAUUAACGUCUCCAUAGUGAACUUGUUUGACCUUGGUGAUUUUAGUAGGGUUUCUGUCUUUCAACCGUCUCAAAGACUGUAUGUAGUUCCUGUGCUUGUAAAAAGAUGAAUUAACCCCUAAAACUUCAGCGGUUAGAGUUUGUAGAGCUAGUUGGGAGGCUAGUGGAUGCUUGUAGUAUGCUUUUAAUGUAGAUUCAUUUCUUGUGAAGGUGAAAAUGUUCUUGAAUUAUUGCUUUUUAUGUAUGAGAAUGAGAGACGGUCUCAAUGUCAUUUCCAGUCACCUGCAUUUCUGCAUUUGAAUUAUUGCUUUUUACGGACGAAUUGGCUUUUUAAAAGCCUUAAUAUCUGCAUCUGGAUCUACUUAAAAUCUCGAUAUUUUCUUGAGAAUAAAAUGAGAAACUAUAAAGGAAAGAGGAAAAUUCAAAAUUAAAAGAAUUGAAAGGCUAAAAAAAUUAUAUUUUAGGAAAGUGAUAUAAAUAUUUUUUUAAUCAUUUAAGAAGAAGAUAGAUCUCUGUAAUUUUUUUUUAAAUUUCAAUCAUUAAGGUGAAAAUUUUUGUGGGAAAGAAGAAGAAUUAAAUAAAGAAAAAAGAGAAAAAUAAAUAAAAGAAAGGAAAACAAAGUAAAUGAAAAGUCAAAAUAAUGCAAGGGCAAUUUUGUUCUAAAGGGGUUAAGUGAGCAAAAUUAAAGGUUAGAGGGUAAACUGAGAAAUGAGGUAUUCUUUAAGGGGAUAAAAUGUGAUUAACCCUAAAGAAAAUUGUAUGCAUUUUUUUUUAAUGUAAGUGGGAGGAUUUGAAUUCGGUAUCUCUCACUUAUACUCUUUCUUUCGAACCACCCAGUCCAUUCUUCUUCCAAAUCUUAUGCGUUAAUCAAAUUAGAUGUUACAACUUGUAUAAUAAAUUGUAUAUUGAAUAUCUUGUAUUAUAAUGAAUUGUAGUCCAACGGUUGAUAGCGGUUCUCUACAUGAAUACCUUUAUUAAUUAAUUAAUUUUUUUUUUUUUGUUUUUUGGUCGUGAACUUAAUUAAAUGUACAUCAAACUACAACCACAAGUACUCAAUGGAUGUACUAACGUGUCUUUUUGUCCGAAGGUACUAACACCCAUCCGAACAAAUGCUCUUGACUGGAUUUGAUUUUCAGUAGCAGAACAAUGAUCUAUUCCUUGUUUUAAUCUGUUUUUGUUUUAAAAAAAAUUUAAUUUUGGACAAGUCAAAUUAGCCGCAGCCCGAUGAAUUAACGGUUGAGGAUUCGUAAUGUUACUAUAGAAGGUAACUAAAUGAGGAUUUUUAUUGGAGACCGAAUAUGUCUUAAAAGUAUUAUCCCGAGCCAAUAAUUGACUCUUACGAAUGCAAUUGUUUUGCCUCUUGUCUUGGAUCUUCAAGUGCUAUCAUUGGUAACAGAGUUCAGCAAUUUACUCUUAAGGGCUAAAAUUCCUUUAUUUCCGCUUUUAGAGCUUAAAUGCUGUCAUUUGUAAUUGUUGAGUUGUAAACUUGUUAAUUUCAUGAUAAAGUGCAUUUUUAUCUAAAACCCUUUAUUACCCUUCACAUCUUUACAUACUGCCAUCUGAAAACGUGUUUUAACACUUAGAUAUAGAUGAUAAAAGUGAAUUGAGAUUGUUAGUACCUAAGCAUGCAUAGCAGAAGCAUAUACGACGAGUAUAAAAAUACGUAGGAGAAGAGAAAUUUAUUCCAAUAACAUAAAUAAUAACCACAUCCGACUCUCAUAUUAAAAUCGGCAUAAAUUCUAGGCAUAAUUACCUUUACAAACACCAAGACUCUCACUAAUUUUUCAUAACUUUCGUCUCACUCUUCUCACAUAACUAAACACCUUCCACACUGCACAUGGUACUUAGUAGGAAAUUACUGUAUACUAAGACAAAAAAUUACCAAAUAAUUGCUCUAUAGCUUAAACAAUUAAACUACCAAAAUUUGACUGUACUUCUAAUUUAGAAAUAAAAAAACAACUACUACCAAGAAGUUUGGUUUAAUUAUGUUACAGAGAUUGUUUAAGAUUUCACCAACUACCCCCCGGCCCGGCCCUACGUUCUUUGCUAUGAUGCCAUUGCAAUCACAGUUGGAAGAUAAAUUCUUCAAUCUUACAUAGAAAGUCACUCGUAUUAGUUUAUUUUCAAACAUUCUUUAAAACAAUCAUUUAAGCAACUUAAAUCACAUAAUAACUAAUCCUCCAUUUAAUCAUUUAAUAACCCCCACCCCAUCUUCUAUCUCUCUCUCUCUCUCUCUCACACACACACACACACACACACUUUUUGUGCUUUACAAGGGCAUGUGUUGCAUUUUCAUAUUGGUCCGACCUCAUAUUUCACUUAUUAGUUUAUUAUAUAUUACAACGCAUCAAAGAGGCUACCACCAAAAAAAUUUAAAAAAAGGGACAGAGAGAGUGACAAGUGAAAAUUAAUGGCCGGAUUCAUAUUUCACUAGGAAUAACAAUGAAACAAGUGACUCAAUCAAAUCUUCUAUUCGAGUUUGAGCCAAACUCGAACUGUUUGAACCAUAGUUAUUAAAUCUGGCCUAAAUUAGUGAUUCAACUAUGUAACUAACUAAUGAUCCGGUCACUUAGUUUGGGUCACAAGUCUAAUCGGAAAAGAAGCAGAUUUGUUGAUUGGUCAAUAACUCGUUGCCUCAACUAGGUUAAAUCGGGAAUGCAAUGGAUUUUUGAACAACCGGCAGGAUCUUUAGAUUUUGUAAGAAAAAUAUUAGUGGAGUGCUGAUAACAAGAUUAGAAUACAAAACCUGAGCAUGUUUUAUUAGUGCAGGAAAAGUUUUAAUGGAGUGUCAGUUACAUCUUUCAUUUGUUUUUUUUUAAUGUCUAUAGUGUAUUCUUGUAUUAAAAAUUAAGAGAAAUUAUAUUUGAAUAUAUCUUAAUGGCCAACCGAUUCAAUCACCCACCUACUAGUUACACGAAUAACCAAUUGACUUGCCGCUUCACACUUUCUAGAGUCGAUUUUGAACUUUAAUAGGUUCAGUUCGAAAGCUUUUAUAUAUAUCUAUAUAUAUAUAUAUAUCCAAAAUCUUGUUCAAAAACUCAAAUUCUGACUGGAUCUUGACCUUGAUUUAAGCUUUCUUUCCUUUCUCAAGUUAGCACGAGCUCAAGUUCCUCCAAAUUUAUUUGAGUCACUUUCGAGCGCAUGAAUAUGUAAUUAGUUGAUCUUCAACUUGUAUAUUUCAUUGAGUUUAUUUUGAUUGCUUCAUAGAGAGAGAGAGAGAGAGAGAAAUAAAAAAUGAAAAACAAAGAAGUGUCAUAAGUAAAAAUAGAUUCUCUAGUGUUUGUAUACAGGACCAACUAUGAUGCAUCAAGCAAUCUUAGCAUACACAGUGCGCUUAGGCAAAUAACUAGUAAUCAUAUAUGUAAAUUAUUAUCGACCAUGUGAUCUAAAUUUUGUGUAACUAACAAAUUUCAACAACCAAAAGGGGAAAAAAUUAGCAGUAAAAGAAUUUGAAAAAUGAGCCAAAACAUAUCUCCAUAUUUAGCAUGUCUUACCUCUGUAUCAAUUUAACCAAGGCCUUGAAGUUGCGGAAAUAUUGAUAAAGUAACAAUAAAAUUAAGAAACUAGCAAAUCUCUAAAAAAAAAAAUGAGCGAAAACCUUUCAGUUAAAAUUUGAUAAAUUACAUAAAAUGAAGAAAAAUUUCAGGAAAAGAUAUUACAUAAUCUCAGUUAAUUCGUCUUCAGAUAAAAUAUCAAUCACUCGAGAAGAAACUAUCAUAUAUUCACGGAGUAGUAUAACUAGCAAUCAUUACCAGUUUCGUGGAUAACAACGUAUGGAAAACUAUUCAUCCUUGCUUAAAUCUGUAAAUUUAAAAUAUAGCUCACAAGUUGGCCUUUUCAUUUAUGUUUUUCUGUGCAAACUAAAUUUAACAACAAAAAAUUUAUGAAUAAAGUGGUGCCACCACAAUGCUUGUCAGAUUUGGCAUUUCAAAUGCAAAAUGAAAUUGCGCACAACUAUGCUACAGCCACUUGGGUUUUGUCUUCGAUUGCUUUAAAUUUUAUAAAAUCUGAUUAUAGAACCUGAUUAUAGAGGAUCAGCAAAAGUUACUAUUUGAGUGAUUAUAGAUUUUAACUUUUUAAUCAUUAAAAAAAUUCAUAACCAAAAUACAAAAGUAAUCGAGAACAUUAUAAAAACUGAUUAUCCAAAAAUAGAAUCUGUAAUUAAUUAAAAUAAUCAACCGAGAACAAGAAAACUUUUAAAACUUAUUACAAUUCCACCUAAUUAACUGCUUCAGCACCAAGGCAAUACUUUGAAAUUGCAAUGUAUUAAGAUGUUACCAGAAACAUUAGUCAAGGCAUGGAAUCUGGAAUUACUCGAAUAGUAUGUAAUCACAGUAUUAGUGUCCUUAAUCCACAAUUAUCCUUGAAACUAGUAAAUGAUGAGAGCAAAGUAGCCUUUAAGAUUCUAAUUGUAUGCUCAACCAAUUUGCCACUACAACAUAAAUAAUUUGGUUCCAUGUAUAAACUUGUGUCUUUUCAUUUUGCAAUACAAGAUAUAUACAACUUUCACUAUAGAUCUCUAUGUACAAAAAAGAAAUCCUGUACCUCUUGUAUAAUCCUCUUGUAAGUUCUAACCACCCUUAAGAAUCAAAUUCCAAGAUCAAAAGAAGGAGAACCAAGAAGAGAAGGGUUUACUGGCACUGGUUCAGCAAUAGGUACCUGAUUCUGUUUUGAGUAGUCCGUUUUGAAUCCAAUUAAUUUGGCAGCUUGUUCUUCUAUAGCAUCAAGAUCAAUGGCAUUGUAGAAUUGAUCGUCAUCAAAGAUAUUCCUGUUUUCUGUGAUGUCAUUGUCCAGAAACGUUUUGCUAUUUUCUUGAAUUUUGUCGGUUUGUUCAUGCAACAUAGAGUCGUGUCCAGAAGCGACAGAACCAAUGAAAAACUCUUUUUCUAAGUUAUGUACUGGUAAGAAACCAGAUUUACAGAAUAAUUUUCUCUUUCGAUUCUCCAUCUUGCUUUUUUGUUCUUUUGGAGAAGUAGUAAUUCUGGAGAGCAAAGCAUCUGAGGAAACUCUGUCAAGAUUGAAAUGGAGGGAUGCUGAAUUCCUGGCGGUAGACUCUAAGCCAUUCUCAGGCUUUUGAACCAAAUGACUUUCUGAUCCUGAAGUGCUUGCUCUUUCAUUUCUUGGAACAUCAGAACUAGGAGUAAAAUCUUCAGAGAAAUUUGCCACUCCUACUAAUGGUGAUUGACUGAGCAAGGAACGCCUGUGUCAAAAGAUUAACUAGACUUAAACAAAAAAGAGCACAUUCAAGCUCAUAUUACGGGAACCGAAAAUGAAGUUAUUUGCUUCAAUCCACCAAAUCAUUAAGCAUUUGUUAGAAAUAUAAAGAUCAGAAGAAAGCUUGAAGAUUUACCAUGAAAAAAACCAUGGUCGUACAAAUUUGUACAGCUGGCAACCCAAUUUAACCAGAAAAAAGGGUACGAGAUCUAACAAGAUAGAGGAGAUAAUAAACUGGUCCCAGUUUACAAAAGAGAACUGCAGGGAAUAAAUAUAUCAGGAGCCAAAGAUUUGGUAGACGUAUGUUCAAAAAGCACAUAGUUGUUACAUGUCAGUAGAAAGCUAGAACCUUAGAAAAUAAACAGGCUGGGAAAACAAAAGGUCUAUAUUCCAGACUUAUUUUUUCAACCCAUAACUAUUAUGACCAAAAGAGCUACUUCAAACUGUUGCUCACAUCUGUUAAACUACCUCACUUGAACACUCAUUUUGGUAUAAAUAUGCCAUGUAUGCAUGAAAUAACCAUAUUAUCAAUAGAGAAGACAGCUUAAUAUUCAGGGUAACUAGGAUUAAAGAUACUCGAAUAAUGCAUGCUGCAUAUUCAUAUCCUCCCUAGACUGAAUUAUACUAGGUUAUGCAAUGCCCAAGCCCCUCAUGUACAAAAUGUAAAGCCAGUUAAAUAGCACUUAGCAAAUAUUAAUUGGCAAUGAAGCAAGGCAUAUGGGAAAAAAUAAAAGCAAAUCUAACAAGAUCAAGAAAAAUUUUACAAACCUGUAAACAGCCAUCAUAUCAAUACCACUCUCUUCUGCUUGAGUACUUUUUGCUGUAGGAUUUAUUCUAUCAUCAAUAAAACUAUCUUCGUAUGAAUUGUCCUCCUGCUCAUCUUCCUCAUCAGAAGAUACCAUAACCUCCAAAGAUACCCUGAAAUGACAACAGGAAAUUUUAUUCAAUAGCACCAGAACAAGUACAAUGAAGUGUUAGUGUUUCUUUGAGACCAAAGAAUAGAUUGGCAAAUACUGAUGUUCAAGGCAAGAAUUUAAAAUUACUCCUGUACAAGAUGUAUUCAGUGAUUAUCAACAUAACGUGACAUUCUAUUUUUAAGUACUAGCAGAAAUCUUAUCUCAUUUUUCCCACUUUGAGUUGCAACUCGGUUUUCUGUACAGUUGCCCUUAAUCAAGCAAAAUACAGUUACCAUAAUGUUUGUUGAACUUGUUUGUACAGUUCACUAGGAUUGUCCAGCUUGCAUUCAGAUUUACUCAUUUCUAAUGAUUUUCAAAAUAAGAUCAAUUCAUUUUUUAAUCUUUCAAUGUUAAUGUUGAAUUUCAAGUUUCUUCUAUCAUAGGAUUAGCUAAACAUAUUGUAAUUCGUGCCUAAAGUGUCAACAGAAUUAUUUUAUUACAUGCCAAAAGUGCCUUAGAAAAGCUAAGGUAACAUACUUAAAUUAGUUUCUCAAGCAACACGUCAUGUAUAAUUUAUCAAUAGGUAGUCCUCACCCUCUUCUAGUUUUUUGGGUGAAGAAACUUUUCAUGGCUCAAAAAGUCUCCCAAAAUUUUGCUCUGGUACGAUGUCAAUGUAAUUGGGAAGAAGACACUCUGUUUCCCAGUUUGGGAGACUUACCAGCAUUUACAAUAGAGGUGCAAAAUUAUGAAUCAUAAUACUUCUCUUAACAACCAUAUCUGCCAAAAUUUUCCUUCUCUUAUGAUUUUAAAUGUUCUUAAAUUCUUGUCACACCAAUGCUUAUUUAUCAGUCCAAGUUUUCCUCAAGUUUACUAUGCAAUAUAGAUGUAAAAUCUCACAAGACCAACCAAAAACAUAUAAGGUUGCUUUCAAGGAGAUUCUCUUCCUAUCCAGUUUCAUGGACAACAGAUGUGCUAAAGAUACAAAAGAAUAUUUCAAACUGUCCUUCUGCAUCGUUUUAUCUUUUAAUAUUCUCUAGCAAAUUCACUUAAGUCUGCAGGAUGCCUUCUUACUUUUCUACUAUUGCUGCUCCUAUGUAGCACAUCCAAAGCAUGCAUCACUUAUCUAUGAACAUGAUUCUUCUGAACCUCCCAUUAACUCUUAUACAACAUGAUCAGCCAGAUAAUCAUACUUCCAAAUCUCCUUAGUAUGAUUAACCCAUGGAAAAGGAAAACUAAAAAUAAAAGCUGUACACAUAUAACUAUAUUUACAUGUGGAAAUUGAAAUAAUAUAUACUUACUCUGCUUCAUCUUCAACAAACAGUUUGGCUCUAUUUGAGAUGAACUUCGCGCCUGCAUGUAACAGCAUCAAGUGUGAAAUUAGCAAUUGUCAGUCAAAAUUUGUCUUGUAGUAACUUGCAAUUCCCAGUAGCUUUUUACGUCUGGAAGACUUUCAGAAAUCAAGGAAGAUGUACCACCUUGAUAGCAUGACAAUCCUGGAAUGCAAGUAGGAAUAAAGUUAAAAUAGUUACCUCUAUGAUGAUGAUUCUGACCAUCAUCUGCACCAACAGAAGAACUUGUGAAGUUUCUGGUGGGGCCACUUGUCUGUUCUUUGCAAUCCUGAGGCUUAACCCUACAGAGAUCUCCAUGCUUGCGCAAUCUUUUAAACUUGCGUCUUUGUUUAACACCAUGUGAAUUUCCUCCAGGAUUCAAUUGCCAGUCUUUGCUAAAGCCAAUGUCUGGUGAUUUAAUGAAAGGAGAUCGACAUUCAUCAACAGUUGGAGUUCUAAAUUUGCUUGCUGGAGUACUAUUCUUCAUUUGUUUUGCAGAAAUAUCAUUGGUCAGCGAAGAAGUGACAUUAAUUUCAUUCUGCCCCAAAUACUUCACUACUGACUGUGCAUGGACCAUGGGGGUUGAAACAAGAUCUGGUACCAUAAUAUCAUCUCUUUGAAUCUCAGGCAUUCCUGAAGAACAUAGGAUUAUUACCAUAAUUUGGACUUGGGAGUUAGUGUAACUAUUUAGACAAGCAUUGAGUAAUGGAACAUACAUACCACUACUGCUUAUAGGAGAUUCUGGAACAAUACCGGACUCCAUAAAGUUAGUAAGCCUGGGACUAAACUCAACGUCCAUUGGAUCAUCAUUGGCCUCAGCAGCAAACAACAUAGGUGCUCUAUCUUCAGGACUAUUAUUAAUACUCUCACCUCCAUCUGACAUUGGCUUGGGAAUUGGAGUCUCAAGAAUAAUCUCUCCUAAAGUUUUUUCUCCUGAUGCAUUACAGCUGUUUAAUUUAAAUGCACAAUCUUUGUCAUCUUGACUGGAUCUUAUCUGGGACAUAGAAUCAUCUUUUGCAUUCCCCACACGUUCUUCGCAUACAUCAGUGGAAGCAUCAAUGCAUGCAAUAUUUUGUUUCAGAUGAUAGAAUGGAGCUGCUCUGCCGGUAGUCAUAAUUUUAGAAAGCAGAACUUCUUUCACUGGAAAUUGUGACACAGAUAAAACCUGUACUGUCCCAAGAUCAUCUACAGAUAUCAAUCCAGAGCUGAAGAGAAAGGAAUGGACCAAGUUUUUACAUUGAGAACCUUGAGAACCUAGCGCAUAGGAAUCCUCUCUAGUUCUUAAAUCCUCUUUGGGCUCUAAACUAGCCAGUGAAACUUCUCUUAUGCAAUCCUCUAUAGGAAAGUCCCCAGAAGUGCUUGUUUCUGUAAGAAAAGCUUCAAAAAAUUAUGUAGCAUAAAUGUAAUGGCUUUUUUGGUGGGCAUAUAACAAAGAAUUGUAGGACAGACUAAGAUCCAAUCGCACAUUCAAAUAUUAAAGUACAAAAUUACAUAAAAAGAUAAACUAGCUGAAAGAUUUGACUGGAUAUUAUUGAUCAAGUGAGGUUAGGGAAAAAUGUACUCUUAUGAGAACCCGAAUAUUCUCAGAAUCAAAACAAGCUCAAACUAAACAUCAAAAAUUACAUAGCUGUCAUACAAGUCACAAUGUGACAUUAGGAUGACCAUAAAAGAAUCAUACGAUGGAUGACAUCUGGUGGAACACAAACACUAGUAAAUGCUUUAGUUUUCUGAUUAAAAUGCAACUGCUAAUCCAAAAUUUGCUAGAGGAAUACUUUGGUUGGAGAGAAAGCACUGUGGCCAUGUUAGAUUCUCUUUUUGAUGUACUCCAUUUUUUUUCCUAAUAAAACAGUUUAGGUGUAUACAGACCUUCUCGGUCUUGGUUACUUUCUAAAACCUAAUGACUUAUGAACAGACUAAAACAGGAGAAAUUUAAUGAUAGGUGAACUUGGUCUAUAGGUCCAUGAAAUGAAACUGCUGUGACUGCAAUUUGAAGUGGAUUGGCAUUGGCAAGGAAACUUGUAACCCACUUUGAAAAUAUUAGAACACUUUUUCCUUUCCCUUUUCUGCCAAACUUCAGCAUCAGAGAGAGAAAACAACAAAUAAUUUUGAAUGAAUAGUAAAUUUCAGACAGACCAGCAUAACAUUCAAAUGAGUAUGUAAAGGGUACCAAUCGUAGGAUGCUAUUGAACGCAAGGAGAUUUAAACCAACUGUUGAAUGUGGAUAAAAAGGUUUCAGCAGCAACCUUUACACUUUGAUAGCAACUAUUCAUGUCAUGAAUUUCUCUAAAUUCAAGGAGUUGCAUGCCGAGAAGAUGCAGUUAUGCACCAAGACUUCUCUUCUGAGAAUUCAAUUAAGAAAAAGGAAAAAUUGAGCGGUCUAUUAGCUGUCUAAUGCAUCCUUACCUUUAAUUUUGCCAUUACACUGUACAAGAGCUUCACUUGCUGAGCAUGGUUCUGGAGAGGCACUAUCCUGAACAAUGCAAAUAAAGUGAACAAAUAGCGACAAUUCAACAUAAGACAGCAAAACUACCAAAGAGACAGACCUCAACUUUAACAGCUGUACUGCAUGUAGAAAAUGGUAAUCCUUGUAAACAUUGCAUUGCAUCUAUUAGAAUCCCUGUCCUAAAUGAAUGCAGCACUUUGUGUACUCUGGACGGAAAUGCUUGGAAAUGAGGAAAGGCAAUAAGUGAUGGUUUCCAAGUGUUUUCCCUGGUGGUGCUGAAAUAUUUAGAUAGUAAGUCAUUCUCAGCAUCUGUUAACUUGGCUUUAUAUGCAGGCGACUGGAUUGGCUGGUCAUCAUCAUUCACUUUCUUUACACGUGGAACAAACUGUUCAAUUGAAAGCUCUACAAACUGGACCUCUGGUUUGAAAACAUGCGGAAUCUGCAACGUUGAAAAUAGAUAAUCAGAAAUGAAGAAGUAAGGACUUCAUGAAACUAUAACAAUCUGGUACUAUAACAAACCGGUACAAUCUAAACAUACCAUCCUCGGACUUGAAUGAAAUUGGAAACUAUUUGCUCCCCCGUUUCUCAUGUGCUUCUUAAUAGCCUUGCUAUUGGCUUGUUUCCUCAUGUAGCCCUUUAAUUCAGACCCCUCACAAGCUAAAACAAGUAAAGCUUGUUAAGAAAAAUGUGGGCAAAGAUGAAAACUGCUACUAUUUUUUAAUGACUUCAAAAGCAUAAAGAAAUGCACCACAUAUCCAGUUUUACAUGACGUGCUAUUUUAAAUGACCCUAAGUUUUACAUAGUUCAUAAAGGCAAAAUUUAUUCAUCAAUAUUACAAGUAAUUGGACCAAAACGAUAAUACUAUUAGCUCCCACUGCCCCCACAUUUCCCAAACUUUUUAUUUUCCUAGACAACAUUUUCAACUUUGACCUAAAAUAUUCAACUAAUGCAAUGCAAAAUCAGAUGGAGUGAACCCAAUCAGUAUCAAAUACGAGAUGCCCAUUAACUAGAUUAGACAAGGAUAUCUACUCGUCCUUCAUGCUUUCUUCCAGUUCUGCCCAUUCGCUGAAUCAUUCUCAAUGGUGAGAUGUUAGCAUCAAAGCAUAUAACAAGAUCAACUUCCAUUAUAUCUAAACCUUCUUCACCAAUUGAAGUUGCAACAAUGACAUUGUACCCACCAGCUCUAAAUUUCUACAUGGAAAUGUCGAAGUUAGGCAAUAUACCAUGGCGAAAUUAUCAAUUCAAACAUCGGAAAAAAGGGAAAAAAAACCUGCAAAACAGCUUGUUGAACUUUUUGUGACUGUCCCUUUAAUGCUUUACCUGCAGAAACCAACAAAGAGAAUAAUCAUAAAUAUUCACGUUUAGUCUGGGUAACUAUUUACCUUCCAAGUAAACAAGGAGAAAAACUACUCAGAAUAUAUGGAGAGCAAGGUGUUUCCAAUUGCAUGUUAAAAAUGGAUACAAAAGUACUUUCGCAUCUCAUCUGCAGCUAUAUAUUUUUUUAGCCAAAACUGACAUAGUCUUGUCAGCUAAAUUCUUUGAGAAUGUAUAUCUAGCAGCAUGAGGUGACCAAAAGUCAAGAAUUCUUUAGCAGUAAGGAUUAUUCUUCUAUGCAGUGACAAUGUAAAAAAUUUUGCACAAGCAAAUCCAAGUGCAUACCAUGUCUACAAAAAGAGCUUUCCAGGUCUUUAGUAGGAGCUUUUUCUCAAAAUUUGCUAGGAUUAUGUAGCAUGAGUCAUAGCACUUGUCAUUGUUUGCAAAAUUUGACUAUGGAAAGUGAUUAUAAAGAAAUAUCACAAUCAGCUAAAGCUACACUUUGGUAGAUACUAAAUUUUAGCUUAUUUGCCUAUUAAGAAAUAAAAAAAUCUAGAUGCAAAAGCAAAAGAGAACAUAAAAAAAAACUGAUUAUUCAAAAUCAGAAUCUUACAAUCAGGUGACAAUCAACUGAGAACAAGCCCUAAGAUUAAUCCUAGGAGUAAAUAUAGUAAACCACCAGUGUGCUAAUGGUGAUCUACACCCUGUAGAUGCCCUAUAUUUGCACAUUAUGGUGGACAUAAAGGCACAAAUGUUAGCAAGCAUACUCAAGCAUUCCAACAUUACAACGUAGGAACUGCUUUCAUUAAGAAAAGAAAGCGGAUCCCAAUUGCCAUGCAGAUAAUGUCUAUUUGCCCUGCUUAUGAGUUUCUUUUUCCUUUCCUAGUGAAAGAAGACUGAGGUUACCAACUUCUUUCAGCAAGCAUCCUCACUAGAUGAUAAUAAUGUUUACUCAAACAGCAUUGAGCAAAAUAAUAAUGGCAGUUUCAUAACUUUAUUAACAUCAGAUCCAAAAACAACAGGAAAGCAAUGGUGUGCAAAUCAGAAAAGCAACAUGUACAAGGAGAAAGGGUUAAUGGAAUAAUUAGGAAACACAAGGAGGCAUAUAGAAGAUUUUAAAGAAGUGGUUACCCAUUUAACCAAUGUAGCUUAAGCUGAUAGGUGACAGGAAAACUAGAAAAUGAGAUCAAAAGCAUCCUCUGUUCUCAAAGACAAUGAUAAAUGAAAGUACCAAGAAUGCAAACCUGAAGUCUGACCAACGAACUCAGUAGCUUUUACAAAUUCCCCAAUGUCUUUUAAUGCAUUCAUUAUAUCCCUGAAAUCAAAAUCGAUAACAGCAAAUGUUACAAGGUGUAAGAACAUGAAUUAGACUCUACGAUUUUCAAGUCUAGAAUCAGAGUUUUUCCAAAUAAAGAAUGAAUAUAUCAUGUAUUCAUCUGACCUUACACUUCCCCUGAAAUUUGAGAAAAUUAUAACCCUUGACUCAAGUGGAUCUUUCAUUUCUGCCCAAGCCCAAAAAAAAAAAAAAUGGUCAGAAUAUCCAUAUAAGAGUGUCUCUAGUCUCUUUUGCACACAUAAUGUAAAGAAGCAGCGAAAAUGGCCCACAAAUCCUCUAUGGUCUAUGUAUCAGUAGAGCUUAAACUACAACUGAAGUUUCAUGACAAAUAUUUGAGUUAAAGGCUCAAUGUGAAGCUCAGAAACCGUUUCCACAAUAAGUACAGAGAUGUAAUAGAUGUAUUUGCAGUCAAAGGUUCAAUGUGAAGCUCAGAAACCGUUUCCACAAUAACUACAAUGUAUUUGCAGGUCACACUAAAUUGAACAAAAUGCAUAUUGCAUUGUCAAAAUUUGGAAUUUUUUACCACAUAGCUAACAAUCCUUUAUUUUACUAUGAAAGAAUCCACAACAUGUGGUGAAUAAGCUUCAUCAUUUAGUACAUCAAACUUGAUAAUCCAUCCAACUUUCUCACCUAACAUACCCAUCAAUCUCAUCCAACUGAGCAAUUCUUCCACUUUAUAUAUGCACUAGUGAGGCCCUGAUAAUUCAAACAGGUAUACAGUGGCUUAGAGUUUUCUAUCCCGCAUUAAUUUUCAAACAAUCUAUUCAGUAUGGUUGUGCCGUAGAUCACUGUUGAUUCAAUGAACAAGUUAGCAUGAUUAUUUUCUGUGUUAUUAUACUAUCUUGCCAAAUUACCUAUGUAUCGCCAUUUUUGCAUUAGAUUAUAAGUCAAAUUCAGAGGCAAAAAAAAAAACUCAAAUAUGUCCAAUUUGCUUCCAAAAGGUUUCUGUUAAUGUACUUAGUCACAUCCUUGUGUUAACUUCACCAAGUUUUUUAUGUUCACCAAAUUGCUGCUGGCACGCACAUGGGAACUUUGGUCAGGAAAAAGAACAAGAAUAUUCCUAGGACAAAAAAAGAAUACAAAAAACAGCAAAAGUGGAAGUAAAAAAAGAACUUUUUGUCACUGUUAAUGCUUCCCUAAGCAGUACAGAUGCAUGUCACCAUUUUAACCCAACUAAAAUAACAGGAAAAAAAAAAAAGAAGUUUCAAUGCCAGAACACAACAGUACCACUUUCAAACCAUUCCAGAUAUCCAACAAAUCUAAGUUACCUAGCAAAGCUGGAAGAAAUCAAUAGGUAGUUCAUAAAUAAAUAAAUAAAAAGAGUUAACAUUUUGUCACGUUACAUACUAAAAUGAUCCACCAAGACUUCCAGCAAUUUUGACAAUUUGGGACUAGGAGCUCCAUGAGAUAUGCUUUGCUGCAUUAGAAGUUUUGCUUUUAGAAGAACUUCAUUCCGACUCAUAAAACGUGCAAAAGACCUGCAAAAAUUUUUGCUUGAAUUGUAAGUUAAGGCAUUCACAGCUUACUAGAAUGGAAACGGAUAUGCAUACAUACCAAAAUGAUGAAUGUUGUGCCUUUAAAAAAAAUUAAAUUAAAAGAAAGAAAUAGUGGGAACUAAUGUUGACUUGACAUUUUUAGAAUAUCUAAUCCUGCAUCUUCAAAGAAAUGUAGCAGAAAACACUACCCCUGUUGCAAUUUUUCUGCAAGCAUCUCAAAUGCAGGCUUUAUACCAUGGCUAGACAGCAAUUUCCUGAUGUGGUACAGCGUUAUGAGUACACCAAAAUAUCCUUCAACUUCUCCAUACUUAAUAUGAGGCAGGUUUUCUGGUGGUGCUUCCCGAAAUUUGUCCCUCGAGUUGAGUAAAUCACAUGGGCUUAACUGUCAUUUAGCAACAAGUUUAAAGAGAAUCACGAGCCUUCUUAACUAUGAGGAACAAAGUCCUUGCAAUUAAUUUGCUAGAAAGGUCAAGAGCUGAUGAAACUGAUAAGAAAAUUCAAUACUGAAAAGGAUCAAUAAAAUGGUGAAAUGCAUAAAGAAAGAAAAAUAACAACAGAACUAUUUUGCAAGCUAACUAGAUUACAUUUGGUCAUAUAAUUCCUAUAUACAUAUUAUAGAGCAAAAGUUUACUUGAAGGUAAUUUGCAGCUGAAGGUACCUUCAAGGAAACGCUGAGUAUCUGUUACUAUCUCAGUACACAUACUGAGCAUACAAAAAUAAAAAACAUCCACAAGUUUUCUAGCUUUCCAAUUGUCCCAUCCUACCAUGCCAUUAUUUAAAAAAAAAGAAUAAUUAAAAUUUGCCAAGAUCAAAUCCUACUGGAAAAUCUACAGCAGAUGAGAGAAUGGAGCUUUAACAUUUUCAAUAUUGUCUGACAGAUCUGUAACAGAAAACAGACACUUAGUCAUGCUUGAUAAGCACUUAUAGAUCAGUCCAUAGCUAAAUUUUUGUGGAACUACAGGUAAAACCAUGACAAUUGAGAAUUUAGACUAUAAUGAAAUAAACUGAAUAUCUAUUGGAAAGAAAAGAAAAAGAACUGGAAUUUACAUCAAACUCAUGCUGCAUAAUUCUUACAAGAAAAAUAACUAUUGUGGCAACAAAAUAAGAGUGAAACAACCAGAGUUCAUGGACUCCACCAAACAAAAAAGAAAAAUAAAAAAGGAUCAAUAACCUAGCCAACUAUAUUUUUGAACAAAAAGAAGCAUACCGUCUGGCAAUCUCUAUUUUUAAGUACCCCAAUUGCAGAAAGCCGAGCAACAUAAGGGCGUAUUACUUCCAAGAUCAAAUUAUUUAUUUCAACCGCAUCAUUGCCCAUAGCAACCUAGCAGCAUUAGAGUGGCAUCUUAUACAAUGAAAGCUGGGAUUCAAAAAAAAUUAUGACGACUUUUAUUUACCUCAAUCAGCUCUAUCUUUCUGUCAUGCACGUAAGGAAUCACAUCAGGGUCACUUUCACUUCGGUAUUCAAGUCUUGAUAUUUGAAGAUUAUCGAUUACGUGCUGGAUGGUCUGCUGCUUAGCUGAUUUUUACAGCAAAACUUUACAUGUAAAAUAAGACCUAAGAUGGAAAACCUGUGUAUCACAGAGAUAAAGACUGCUCGGUUGUUACUUACAUCCUGGUGUUGCAGUCAAAGCCAAUACUCUGAGUUGCACAGGAACAGCCAUCAACUACACGAUCAUUUGGAAUGCAUUAUAAUUAGUAAGAUAAUUCCACAAAUAACACAUUUGAAAUGAACUUAAUGCCAUCAAUCUUCAAAACUUCAUCUUCUAGGAAAUUUUCCCCAUAAAAAAAAAGUAAGCCAAAUCACAUCAAGUGUAGGUGCAUAUGUCGUGCAGAGUCAGGCUAAGGUGCCACAUACAUGUAGGUUGUUGAAUUUCAGAUUCAUUCAUUUUUUAAUUUUAAUUUUCAGUUACACAACCAAAGACUAGGAGAGGAAGGGGAACUCUCUUGUAUGCUUAGUUGUAAGUAUCAUAUUCAGCAAAUAGGGUGACACAAAGCAACUUACUGUUUCUUGCUCAUGCUCAAAAAUAGAUAUAUCUAUCUAGGUGUGUAAAAUUACUGAGAUACAACAUGACACUCAUAAUGACAAUCUGAGUCAUGCACACAAUUACAUCAACCAUGAUUCAAGAUUGCACCCUUUUCUCCCCUGUUCGCAAACUCUUUCCUCUUCUUGGGUUCCUUAGCUUUGAUUUGUCCGAAGUUCAGAUGAAGUGUCAGACAGAGAUCCCAUACCACUACAAGUUAGUGUCAUGUCUGACACAGGUACUGGUGAGGAAGAGAACUAGCCCUGAGAAUAGAUUUUAAAACAGGAGAAAAACAAAAAGGAAAUAUGCUAGGAGAGAAAGCUACCGAGGUGAUGUCUUACAGAAAAAUUUUCAGCAGAGGAUCUAAGGAACCUAACCUAAUCCAAGGAUAUGUCAACUUACAAGGCCCUGUGGAAUUGACUUAAGUGCAUGCUUUGUUGUACCAACCUUAGUCAAAUUAGCUGCCUUUCAAGGAAAACAGCUUCCUCAUGCAGUCCCUUUAACGACCUUAUACCACUUUGCAGAAAGGUAAAAGUUCCCAACUUUCUACUUGUAUACAAAUGUUUAAAUGCUGCAUGAACUCCUUCCUUGAAGCUAAUUUCCAAAUUGCCCACAAGGGCUCAAAUUAGAAACAUGCCAUUUCUGUUUCUCCAACCUUGGAGAGAGGAGAUAGAGGAAGAAAAAUAAUUCAACUGGAAAGCUUUUAUACAAAAAAGUGAAUUAUCAAGAGAUUUCUCUCAAACCACCACAGCAGACCAGUGACAAUAAACACAAAAUGCUAUACAUUUGAGGAGUAUGUAUCAGCUGAAUUUAGUAAAGCACAUUACACAAUCACCUCAACCAAUUUAAAAGAUGACCCUACAGAACAAACAUUAUAGUAAAACAAUUCAUGUAAGAGAUACGGAGCAAACCUCACGAACUGCAACACAAUACGAAUAGUUGCCUGUUGCACGAUGAGCCUCGUCAACCACUAAACAGACAAGAUGCUUCACCAAACAUGAACCUACAAGAUAUCGCUCCCUUAGCAUAAUAUGUAAACAUAUUGCUUCAAUAUAUUCAGUUUCUUCAAUUGGCAAGUGAAGUCUGAUAUUUUCAUAGCACCUAGAGAGAUAGAUAUGAAAUCCAAUUCCAACAUUUCCAGCACUAAAUCCCAAAAUAGAAUGGAAUGCAUAACCGCUCUUGUUGACUACAAGCAGAACAGAUGUGACAGAGAAGACAGAAGAAAGAUAAACAAGCCAAAUUUUAAUGUCCAACCAUCAGAAAUCAUUCAGCAUUGCUCAAUAUCCCAUUCUCUUUUGACACCAUGCACUUAGAGGUUUUUGUUUUUUGAACCUCAAACUUCUGCACCAAUGAAAUUAACAGAAUCUUUAUAAGUGGAAUCUUGUUAGCUCUGAAGUAACUUGCAUAAAGCACCUUAACAAUUAACGGGCAUUAACUAUCAUUUUACUUCUAGAGAGGCUAAUGAAUGAAUUUUGUUAAGCAACCUAUUUAGUUUUAUACAGUAAUUUCUCAUAACUGCUAUAUAUUCAACAAUUCCCACAAGAACGUUAAUCGUUUAAUCUCCUAAAUUAUACUUCUUGAAAGAAACAUAAAGUGGUUACAAAAAGCAUAUAAAUCGGAUCAAUAAAUUUCAGACUACAUGGUCCUCAGUCAUACAGUAAAUAUUGUUUCCAGAAGAAGGUUGAACUAUAAAUCUCCUAUAUUCUAUUUCUCCAGUACAAAAAGGAAGUGAAUACCAAUGAAACAGGUAAUCAACCACAAGCUAGUGUAAAUCAGAUCUAUGCCACACUCAGACAUCCUAUUCUCUGGACACUACCAAGUUAAAGUCAAUUGUAAGCCCAAUGCUAGAAGGUUGAUGCUCCAAAAGCAUAUGCAAAUUAGAGUACUCACCAGAAUAAAUAUCUUUCUCAAGAACUUGGGGAGUAACAAAAAAAACUCGUUUACUUCUCCAAUGGUCUGCUCUUCUUGUGGGACUUGUUUGACCUGUCAGAUCAAUAGUCCAUUCCUGCAAUCAGUAUCUUCUCAGAAUAUGACAAAAAAUGAAAAACUCUUGAGUGAUGCUAGAAAAAAAAAUAGCAAGUUAAAUGCCAUAAUUGCCUUACCUGUGGUAUUCCUACAACAUUAUGGCAUGCUUCAAUUUGUUGCAGUACAAGUGGUCGAGAAGGAGCUGCAAAUACAAUUUUUCCUACCAUGAAUGUACCAAGCACAAGAAUUAGUGAUUUACCACAUAAAGAGGAUGUACAUUCACAAUUUCAUGAUGCACAAAGAAACCGCCAACAAGCUUCUGACCUUGCAGCAUGUUUGUCUACCACUCUUUUUCAGUGGACAAAUAGAAGCACUAAAAAAGUACAGAAACACAGAGUAUUUAACUGUUCAAAUAUACUAUUUCGAAUAAGAGAUCACUUUAAACAAUGGACUGUCGAAAGGUCAUUUACCCAAGUUAGAAAACUUCAACUUUCCCUAUUAGCAUAUUUUGCAUUUAGCAAUAAAUGAAGUCACAGAUGCCCCAGAAUAAGAAAAGCAAUCAUUUUUCAUCCAAAAUCAUACAAAAAUAUACUAUUAAAUCGAAAUAGUAAAUAAAUGGUAAAGUUAGUACAGUCUACAACCAGGCAAUGUUGACUAUUCUCCGGUCACCACCUUAAGCUACUUAAAGGAAAUAAAUGAAUAAAUAAAUAAACAUGGUGUGAAAAAUUAUGCCUCCUGCUAAGCAGAAGGUAAUAACCCCUGAAUGAUAGUAAAAUUAGUGUACGCCAUCAGUAUCAUGUGAAUGGAGAACACAGAUAAAGCAAAUUACAAAGCAUUAUUCUACCUUCUGGAAACCAUCUGAAAUAGUUAUACAUUACAACAGCAGCAAUAAGAGUUUUCCCAAGCCCAGUAGGCAAUGCCACUAAAGUGUUGGAAAACAAAGCAGUCCGCGUAAUAUUGAGCUGAUAGUCACGAAGAGGGAUAUUAACUGCAACCAAACAUCACAUAUGAAACAGUGUACAAGUGAGUGCGGAGUACAAAAUCUAAUCAAGAGAAUCAAGAUAGUUUCAAUCAAAAAACAUCCAACAUUAGAAAAAAUCUACACCUGAAAUGCGGAAAGAUCCGUGCUUGUUACAGUAAUAAACCCCAAACACGAUUACAUGUCCCAGUCACUUGACAACUUAGUCAAAUAUGUCAAAAACUUUUUUCCCAAAUAUCAUCUACUAAAACCUACACAUUCCUUCCAUGCUUAUUCAACCCAUAUCUUCAAGCAAAAACGGUAAUCAAACAAGCAGACAUUAUCAUAAAAUUCGAAUUCCCCCACAAUAAUGUAAAAACAAAAAACAAAUCCAAACACAGCUUAGCCUAUAUCAUCCAGCCAAAAAGUAUACGGAAAAUGAUCUUGACUACUAAGUAUUAAAAAUAGCAAUAAAUAGGGAUAGUAGAUAUUCAACCAAAAAAAAACCUGGGUAAAUCCAAGUCUUAGCUGCCUCAGGAUCAAUCUUGACAAAGCCGACAUUUUCUUCUUCAUCUUCAGCUUGCCCCUUCUGUCCCUCACCACUAUUACCAACAUUAAUCUGACAAUUACUGUUAAAAUUAUUAUUCUUGUUUUUUAAAAACCCAUUGCAGUGCUUUUCCCUCUGGUGCCCAUUGGAGUUUCUGGGAACAAUCCCAAUAAACCUAUCUAGAGUCAAUUGCCGGGAAGAAGAAGCAAAAUAAGCAAAAUUGCUCUGAUUGGGCACUGAUUUUUUGUGGGUUUCUUGAAUUCUCGGAUUUGAAGAAGUAUAAGUAGGGAUUUUGCCAUUAAUUACGUGAUUAGAACCGUUAUUAGCACAAUAAUUAGUAGAAGAAGUUGUGGUUUGAGCACAGGCCACAUCAAUCUCCCUCACUGCCGCCUCCCAAUCAAAUUCCUGCAAUUUUUCACAGGGAAAAAAAUUCAUAAAAUUGUUACUAAUAGAGAUGAGUCUAGAAAUGGAAUGGGACUUACGUCGUUAUCUUGGUCGACGAUGUGGAGAGGAGUGGAGGAGGAGGAGGCCAUAGUUUACUCUCUGUGUGUGUGGGUGUGUGUGUGUGUGAAUUUCUUGAAGGCAAGGGGAGGGGGUGGUAGAGGAGGAGGAAGCGAAAAGGGCCAGAAGGCGGCAAAAUGGUGAAUUUUGACCCAUCAAUAAAAUUAUUUGAAAUAUACAUUAAAGAGAAGAUGCUUAAACGGUGCCGUAUUGGCACGUGAGUAUGGAAUUGAGGAAAUAAUAAACCAUAGCGGGAAUAGGAAUUAGAAAACAAAAACUUAAUAAAUGCUUUCUAAAUUGGGAUGCAAUAGUUGUAAUAAGAAGAGUACUUACAACCAAAUGAUUCAGCACACAAGCUUGUUAAGACGGGUGGAAAGCUUUUGUCUUUUUCUUUUAAUCUUCAUCUCAAUUAAGAGGUAAAAUCGAAGAUUUGAAUGGAUUGCUUAACUUAAACCCUGUUUGAUAAUUCAAUUCAGUAUUUAAACUUAAUAAAUUCAGAUAUUAAAUGUUCAUGCGCAUUUGAUACUCAAAAAUUAAAUAUUUGAAUUCAUUAAGUGGCACUGAAAUUUUAUAAUAAAACUUGCUCCAAAAAUAAGUGAUAAACUAUUCAUUUAUCACUUAAUGUAAUACUCAUUCAAAUGUAUCAGAUUUAGAAUGCGUUUAGUUCAUGGGUUGGAUGGAAGAGGAUUACUUAUUCUUGAAUUAUUCAUCUUAAGUUGAGUUAUUUUUGGAUGAAUAAUCUUGUUAUCUAGUGUUUGGUUGGCUUUUUAUAUUAGAUUGGUUGUCUUAGAAAAUAAUCUCAUCCUAUUUUUGGUUAGAGAUAGGAUGAGAUGGGAUUACUUAUUUAUAGAUCAAAACUAGGGGUGGCACCCGCGCUAAGCGCGGGAGUUGUAACCUGUGCGAGGGGAGGGAUGUAGGGUGUUCUUAUUGCACAGCAAAUCAAUCAUCAUAUAGAUAUUAUCAACCUUUAAAUCUUAGCUUUAUCAGAAACUAAGACUUGAAGGAUUUCAUUUAGAAGGGAAUUGAACUGAACUGGAAAGGUUUAAUUCAAAAACAUGGAAAAUUCCAAAGUAAAAAGAACUAAAAAUAGAUGGUUAACAAAUGGUACUGCCAAAAAGGGAUGGUUAACAAAAAGGAAGAUGCACAAUCCCUGUUCAUUAUAGCAAUCUUUGAGCGGCAUAAAUGGAGAGAAUUGGUGAGUCCAUGAAUAGACUGCAAUUCAUGAGCGCAUGAAGAUAGUGGCAGAAAGAAAUGAAAAAGUCACCACAAAGAUUCAGGAAAGACAAAACAAUGCAAUGUAAGAGUGGUCUAAGCAAAGGCGUAAUUGCCAAUAGGAAGGCAGCAUGGACUAUAAAUAUGCGAAGACACUACAAUAUUAUAAGAAGCAUAGCAAAGGUGUAAUCGCCUAUAAGUAAAUACUGAUAGUUCAAGCACCAUGGUAUUAGUUACAGCUUCAGCAUUUGGUUAGAUGCUCAAUGGCUCCUUUUGUAAGUAGGUGGUAUAGACCAUCUUGCAUUGUCACCAAUGCUGAAGCUGUUUUAUUGGAGGUAGUAGUAUUUACAUAGGUACUACUCUUGAUGUGUUUUUGCAUAUUUGUGCCUUUUUAGGGGCGGGCCUUCUUUGCUGGUGGCUUAGCAGUUUCUAGAGAGCUUUGGACGUUAGUGACAGUAGUGUCUUCUUCAGGAAUGGAGUCCAUUGUUUCUGCUGGUUCUGAGGAUUUGGCUUUCAUAGCGAGGCCGAGUUUUGGUGGCUGGGUAUUGAGCAGUUCUGCAUCCUUUUGGGCUAUUUUGCCAUGAUCAGUCUUCCAUGUUGCUGAUGUCUCUACGUAAUUGAUGGUGUAUUUCAUGAUAGCAUCUUUCUCUUCCUGGGUGAAGUUUUUGACAUGAACAAUGACUGCAGUGUAUUUCUCAGUAGGUGUUGAGUAGUACAUGUUUUGUGGCUUCUUCACGAGGCAGAUGAUCCUGUUCUUUUAGAUAGCUUCUUGUAUCUUUUCAUGGUUGACAUUGUGCUGUAUGCAAGUGUAGGACAGAUUCCACAAAAAAGUUAAAUGGAUUGUCUAUGUAAUAAUUGAAAUGUAUUGUACAUUGUAAUAGAUUAAAAGUAUACUUGAGCUUCCUGUCUCUGAAUUUCUGCUAGGCUGAAUGGCAACAGUUGUUUGCCAUCGUGACCAUCGAUGUCCAGUGUUAUUGUUGAAGUGUGAUCACCGAGUUCCACUGUCAUCCUGCAUCUGUAGCAUUUGCUUUCAUUUUGUUAGCUAGAGUGGUUGUUUUGACUGGAAAUGUGGUUUUUUGUGAAGUGUGUUGUACCUUGUCACAACAUGUAUGCGUUUGUUGCAGGAUGUGCAGGGAAUAAUCAAGUUUGGCUUUGCCUUUAGAUAUUUGUUGCAUGUAGGAUACGCUGUGUACUAGAGUCUUUGAUUUGUGUCAACGAGCUUUGAUAUGCCGCUAAUCCAAAAAGCUUUUUUCUAUAGUGGUGCAGUUAUUUGUUAAAACUAAAGGAAAAGAAAUAAAUGGACUGUUUUAAAUCCAAAUGUCAGUGUACGCUUACCUCAUCUGUCAUUAGCAAAGUCCGUAUGGUAAUGACAGUAUCGUCAAUUGGGGGAGGGAGCUUAGUUCGAUCUUCAUAUGAUUUGUCAAGAACCAUUUGGAAAUUUGAGUUAUGGUUCUCUGCACACCUUAAUCAGGAGUUUGGAAUUGUAAGUUGUGUGAAAUGUAAAAUUGAAGAAAUAAGUAGUAAGUGUCAGUGUAUACCAUAUGUUGAGUUCAGCAAUCUGAGUUAUUGGAGGAUUGAUAAGUAUGCAACUGUUGAGCUUUGUUGACAGAUUAAAGACUGAUAUUUUUUGCGCUAAUAUUUGUUGAGUCCAAUGUUAUUUAUUGACUUGACUUGAAUUUGAAGUUGAGGUCGUGCUCAAAUUUUAUAUUGAGAGUUCGUCGAGCUCGAACUCAUAUUCAAGAUUGAAAAAAUUAAGUCGAAACUCAGCUCGAGAUCAAAAUUCGACUCGACUUGGUUCAUUUGCAAUCCUAAUCCCAUGCUAGCUCUCUGAAUCUUGUCUCGCAAAUGUAUGUAAGCUAAAGAUCAGAACAUAAUAAUGGUUCCGCGUGAACUUGAUUUAUUAGUUUUCUCAUCCAUUCUUUGUCUACCAAUUAUCUAUCACCAUAUAACAGGGAUCAAUCGAUUCCAUCCGUUGAACUAGGAAUCCGGUGGGUAUUCGGUUGGAGUUAAUCAAUUGAUUUGAACAUACAUUGAUUAAACUUGGUCAAAAAUUGGAUUUGAACCCAAAAAAAUCGAGUUUUUAAAAUUUUUUGUUUCUCUUUUUUUUUGGAUACUGUUUUACAUUUUUUAUGCAAUUUAAAAUUUAUAUGCGACUGAUAUGUAAUUUUGAGUUUUGACAUCAUCAAAACCAUGGUUCGCCAUAUCGUUCGAGUCCAAUUUGACACAGACGAAUUAUAAUAAGAACAGAACUUGCCGUUUGGAUACCAACAUGCGAUACACCAAUUACAAGAUUUCUUUUAUAUUUAUAAGUAUAUCACAGGUUUGGAAGCUUUUCUCAUGUUCUCUUCUUUUUUCUUGUUCAGAUGUUUAGUUUGCUUAGCGAAUUUUGAAAAUGAAAUCAAUGCAUUCAGUCUAGUGGAUUUAGGAAGGAUAAAGCAAUUAGACAAUUAAGCCAAGAUUUCACUCUAUUUACCAAUGUACCAUGACAUCGACCGCUAUGUAAGUUUAACCUUUUAUAUAACCUACGGCUAAUUAAUUCAUCUUUUUACAAAAGGGAAAAUCACUUGUUUCGUCCUUCACAUUUCGCAAAAAAUAUUCUUUUCGUCCCUCACUUUUAAAAUGAAGCAAAUUCAUCCCUGACAUUUAAAAAUUAAAUGUAUUACAUCCUUGAACCUAAUUUUCAAUCUGAAUCAAACCAUUCAAUAACCCAGUAAUAAAUUUCGGAAAUAGAAUUGAUAGAUCACUCAGUCAAUUCCAUCAUAUUCACAUGAUAUUUAUUAAACCAAAAAAAUAAAAAUUAUAACAUAAAAGGCCAUUCUUUGUCUUGGAAUAGUAGAGUUUUUUUUGGAUAAAUCUUUUCAUACACUGUUAGUAUAUCCGCUUGCGAAUCUAGAUGUGUAUCAUAAAUAUAAAAUUUGGUGUUUAAAUUUAAAUUGAAAUGAUAUGACAGUACAUAAAACCGUCAGUGUAUACAAUGAUAAUGUAGGAAAGAUUAAUUUUUCUUUUUGGGUUCAUUAAAUUUUACAUGAAUAUCAAGUUGAAUUAACCAAGUGAUCUACCAAUUACACCCCCAAAAUUUCUAAUCAGGUUGAUUGGUGGUUUGAUUCAAAUUGAAAUUUGGGUUCAGGAAUGUAAGAACUUCAGUUUUUAAAUGUCAAGGACGAAAUUGUUUCGUUUUAAAAGUGAGGGAUGACAAGAAUAUUCUUGUGAAAUGUGAAGGAUGAAACCGAUCAUUUUCCUUUUACAAAAUAAAAUAAUCUAAUGAAGAAGUUUCCGAAAUCAUUUUAGGGACUUAGUAACUCUUAAAAGAAACCAUUUUCACUAACUAUAUAUGAAAACUUUACUCUCAGGGAAAGUCAGUGAAAGUAUUAGAAACCUCAGAGAAAGUUUCUGAAAUUAUCCAAUGAAUCUAUGUACCUGCUAUUUUUAACCUUUAACCCGGUAACCCAGUUAAUUUUGAAAUGCCUGCUGCCUGCAUGCCCAAUUAUUUGUCGCAUUAAUUUCUGAGCCAAUAGGUGUUAUCUUCAAGUUUUUUCUCCCCAUAAAGGGGGAAAUUCUUUCUCCCCACCACAGUGGCAUUCAGAAAUGUAACCACUUCCAAAGUUUAGUAUUUCACUCCUUUUGUUCCAUUAAAAAUGUCAUACUUUCGAGUUUGGAAUAUUCUAAAAUGUUUGUCAUGUUAAAAAAGUCAAAACUCUUUUUAAUCUUUUUUUCAAGAUUGUCACUUCCUUAAAUUAUGUGCAUGUUACAUUCAAAUUCAAAUUUUAAAUAUUAACGAAUAAAAUUGGAAAGAAAAAUACAAACAUUACAAUCAAAUUAUAAUUUUUAAAAAGUUAGAUUUUUGAAACACGACAAACAUUCUUUUAUUCAUAUUUUAUCUCAUUCAUUUGCUAUGAAGGACUUAUGUAACUUGCAUUUUAAAUCAAACAAUGAUUUGGCUACCUUGUAUAAAUUUAUAGGAAGAUUACGUGGAUAAAUGCAAAAAUCACAGAGGAUAAAAUGAAUAUUUAUGCAAACCACAUGGAAGUUAAGUGAAUAUUUUGAUUUCAUUAUAUACACUUUUUGAGUGUAUAUGGUAUAGUAGCCGUAACUGAUUAUAUGUUCUGUCCAUUUUUCUUUCAUUUGUGUUUAUGUACAAUAGAUAUUGCUUUUUUUUUUGUCAAAAUGAUAACAUUUGUAUUGAUUUAAACUUGAUAAUACAAGAGCACUUUACAAAAGGAGCUCAUUGCUCUCAUAAUCUAUUCUUGCUAGAUCUUUAAUCCAGCCAGGGAAACAUGAUUCCCAAUAUACAUCAUUAACUAGCUUCAAGGCAAACUUUGCUAGCCUAUGACACACUUCAUUCCCUUCCCUAUGUAUAAAAGAGAAGUUGCAUUGCUCAAAAAACUCCCUCAGUUGUUGUAUGUCCUCCAGUAUCACAGCACAGUUGCUGUUGUUGCAUGAGACGGUUAAGAUACAGUCUAUCACAUUCUUGCAGUCUGAUUGUACUUCGAUUCUUCUCCAGCCUGCUGCCUUUCCCAAUUGCAUUGCAGCUCUAAUUGCUGCAGCUUCCUCAAUUUCUGGUUCCCCCAACUUCUCCUCCAUUAUGGCCCAAGCUUUCAGCACCUCUCCUUUCCAGUUUCUAGCCACUAUUCCUUUACCAGUUCUGAUCGAUUGUGUUGAGAUUGCAGCAUCAGUAUUAAUCUUGUUCACAAAACAUUUCAUUCCCUUUCUCUUUCUUAAACUAGGUAGGCUGAUUCAAUAGCUGGUUUGUAUGGUAGGAAUUUUUUUUUUUGGUUUUACGCUUUGCGGUAUCAAUUCGAACAAGUGUGUUCAUAAUCUUUAUUCUUUGUUGCAUUUAGGACAUUAGUUGGAUUGAAGAAACUAGAAGGAAUUUUUGUACUUUUUCCUUGUAAUUUAUUUUCUUGUAAUCAUCCUCUAUAUUGUUUUCUAGUUUUUUUUUUAUUAAUGAACCCAUAACUUUUUACGUUUUUUCUAUGAACAUAUAACCCUGAACUCAUGUAAGAUAUCAAAUAUUUUAUUUGGAUGGAAUUUAAUUUAUUUAAUUUUUUGAUAACUUUUUUUAUUUAAUUUAUUUUACGUUAUCUUUGAAUUAUCUUAAAGUAUCAAAUUGAUGAAUAAAUGAUCCCGUGCAUUGCACGGGUGAAAGUGCUAGUUAGCAAGCGGCGGCAGGCUUCAAUUGACUUGUCAUGUUUAAUUUCAGAGAAAAGUAAGCCAAUGCAAGAAAUACAAUACAAUUAUCAUUUGACAUAAUCUGCUUUACUGUUUUAGUCUUCAUUGAUUUACAGAUACAGAAGAAGUAGUCUUCCAGGGCAAGGUGAAUGGCUGAAAACAGAUUACAUGUUUUACGACAAGCAUGCACCAGUACAGCAGCUUCUCAGUUAUCAAUCUUGAAAUGACAAAUUUGCACAUUUUCAGCAUAAAGUUCCUUCAAAUUACCGCGCUUUCGGGUUGCAAAAUACUUUCCGCAGUUAUAGGCCUUAUACUUGCGAGGAUUUUGCUCAUUGAUCAGUUCCUCCAAGGGCUCAACCCAAGUAUAAUGUGCUGGGUUGAAGAAGAAUGGAAUGGAAAACCUUUCCGUCUCAGAAUUCAAAAUCGCCCUGUGUUCUACACUUUCAUAUUUGUCAUUGCUCCACACCUGCGCACAAUCCGACAAAACAAUCAGCUGAAUUAUUAGUAUAAUUAGCCUUUUUGUCAUUUCUGAUGUUGGUACCUGGAUAAUGUCACCAAUAUUGAUGAUAUAAGCAUUAGGAAUUGGUUUCACAAGAAUCCACUCUCCGUCAUUUUUCCUCUUUACUUCAAGUCCUCCAACAUCAUCUUGAGCAAGAAUGGUCAAAGCCACACCAUCGUUAUGCCGACCAACCGCCAAAGCCAAAUCGGGGCUAGGACAAGGUGGAUAAUGAUUGACCCUGAUAAUCGGCAGUGGAGAUUUGCCUGCGUGGAAUGGCGGAGCUGGUGGAGGAAUCAAAAGGACGACGUCGUUGAAGUGUGGACCUUAUCGGAGUGGAGAUGACAACACUACAUUCAGGGACUUUUCUCUUUUUGGCUUUUUCAAAGCAAUCAACGUCAGAUGGAGUUUGAAGGCAGUUAACUCAAAAGUAUUGGUAUAUGAAUUAGAUCGGUGUGUUAAUUUUGGUUCAAAGUUUUAGAGGAUAGAGAAAAUUUGUGUUAAACCAAACCAAUUUGAAUUAUUAGAAAAUUAAAGUACAAAUAUAGCAGGACACUUGGCGCAAUACUAGAGGCGGCAUUGGGUUGGAACACGAAACAUGCAACCGAGGAUCCCAAGUGUUCUUUGGCAACCCCAAGCUCAGAGCUAUGAGCUCCAAUAACUUGAAAGCCAGUUUUUCCACUUCAUGAGCAUACUCUUCACAAACUUCCGUGCAAGAAUUGCAAAUAGUUGUGCAAGAAUAGUUGUUGGGUGACAAAAAUCUAAAAGAGUGGAAAAGUAUCUGCAAAUCAGGAGUGGAAAUACCUAAAAGAUAAGAUAAUGAGAGAUUAAAAAAAAAGUGAUUGAGAGCAAGGUUCGCCAACUCGGCCGAGUCAUAAUCGGAACGGCAGCUACCGUUCCGAUACCGAUACCCGAAAAGCCGAAUACAUCAUAUCCGAUUUGAAUCGCUCCGAAUCAGCCGAUAUCGUCCGAAUUAGAACCAUGUAGCAAGAUAACGGCCAAAUUCUCGGAUUCGACUCGGAUAUGUACUGGUAAACAGGUUUAAACAGCAACUAGGAAGCCAAACCAAACAAAAAAUGAACAGACACCGAAAGGACACAAAAGGCAUCUCACCACAGCUAGCUACGACUGUUGCAGAGCCUUUUACAAAACCAAACAAAAUUCAAACAGAGAACAAAAGGCCACAAAGUGCAAUUAUAUAAGUAAAUUAUUGUCCUACAAUUACAAACGGUGGUCCACCACAGCUAUACGGCUGUUGCAGUCCUUUCCCAUGCUUUCUUGUUUCCUUUUUCAGCCACAAAGACAAGAUUUAGGGGAAAGUGGGGAUAAAGGGAGAAUCACACCAGCAAUUUCUGCGUGAUCCAUCACUACUUUUUGAGCUUCACUCUAGAUUUUGAAGUAAUUAUUUGGAGAAACAACCCGAUCGGUUCUUCAAUUUCUUCAUCGUCCGGCUGCGGCUCAAAACAAAGGUGACGACAAGCUAUUGGAGGAAGACAAUAACAGCGGGAAAGGGAAAGCAAAAGAAAGAAUAAAGGUGACGGCCGACUCUUCAAUUUCUUCAUUAUUUGGCCGUGAAGGAGGUGAAAAAAGUGAGAAACGGAAAUUGGGAAAAAAAAUGAAGGGAAGAGUCAGAGAAAGAUACGGCUAAAAGUAAAGGGAAGACUCUCGGAGAUGCGGCUGCACUAAACAGAAGAUGGGCAUUUGUACCGAAGCCAGCCAUAGGGAAAAAAAUUGAAGGAAAAAUUAGAAGCACAUAAAGUCCAGCUUUGGCCCAAUCAUCUGGUCACUGCAGUGGAUCAAUAUAGGAUGAAAAUGUUUAUUGAAAAUAUGGUGAAAAUGCUUGCUUCUUUAUGUUUUUGCAUUUCAUAAUA